UUGGAGCCAGUGCAGAUACUUCUAAACUGCAGAGACUGGAUGGAAUUGGUUUGUUCUAAUGGCACAAUCACUAUGUGUAUUUGCACAGUCCUUCCAAUAGUCUAAGAUAGUAGAUAAUUGAUUUUUUUAUCCCUCCAUGACAGGAGAUUCUACGUGUGGCUGAGAAGGGAGGUGAAGAGGCUCAUAACAAUGUCUGAGUUAGGCAGCCGGCCGACUCCAGUGCUGGGGAGAGACCUAUGCCAUGGAACCCUGAAGACUUGCUGAGUCACUCAGAAUCAGAACAGAAGGAGGGCAAGCCUUCCUAGCAGGAAUUGUAUCGCCUAAACACAGAGAGGAACAGAAACAAAGGCCAAGCCUCUGUAAGUUGAGAGAAUGGAGGCAGAGUGCCAACUCUGAAGAAACCCGGGUUUGAAUAAGGAGUGGCCGCUUAGGAGACGAGUACCAUUAAUUGUGAGCACAGCCCUCAGCCGUGGAAAAACUGCAGACUUUACGUUCUAGAUAUCUUGGGCAGCAAUAAAGACUUUCUCUCUAAACAAGCAGGGCUUCUAUACUUUGGUAGUACCCCACAUGGGGAAGAUUAAAAAGAGCUAAGUUUUCUUUUUUCUUUUUCCAUUGUAAUUAUCACAUGAUUGUGUGUGUACACACACACACACACACACACACACACACACACACUACAUCUGUGUGUAGAUAAACACAUUUAAAUAAUAGCAGCUGCCAUUGAUUGUAAGUUCUUUGCACAUUCAGUUUCUCAAGUCAGUCCUUAUUUUACAAAGGCUGAAAUUGACUGAACCCACAAAGUUAGACAGAGAACCCAAGAUCAAACACAAAAGUACCUGACUCAAAUGUGUGUGUGUGUGGGGGGGGUAGGGUGUGGGGGAGGAUUUGUUUUAUUUUAUCCUUCUUUUUCUUUUAGGUGUGUGUGUGUGAGAGAGAGAGAGAGAGAGACAGAGACAGAGAGAGACAGAGAGGGUUUCUCUGUGUGCUGUGUGUACAUGCUUUUUAGGCUGUGUUGAGUACACAUGGAGACCAGAGGUCGACAUGGAAUGUCUUCGAUUGUUUUUUUCCUCUGUAGCUUUUAAAAUUUUAUAUUGUGUUUGAAUGUAUGAGACUGUGAUCACGUGUCUGCCAUCAUGAAGGUGUGGAAGUCAGAGGACAAUCUGUUCUUCUACCAUGUAGGUUCCUCGAAUUGAACCCAGGUCAUCAAGCUUGGUGGCAAGCGCUAAACAGGUGUGUAAGCUUUAGUUGAAUGCAAGGCCUUCCUCACAGGAAUGUAGGUAGGCUACAGGCUAUGGGCAUGCAGUGAAGAGGGAGAAGGGAGUUGUGUAGAAUGCCAAGAUUCCUUUCAUGAAUUUUUCCAAGUCCAGCUUGGCUAGAGAGAAGAUGGAGAGGACCAGAGGGCAGGGGGGUGAAUGGAAACCUAUCCCCCACCCCAAACUGCUGGCAAUCCUCUAUCUUGAAUGUGUGUUUACUCCAGGAGGGGCAUUCCAGGUUGCCCCCACCUUCACUAACACCUUGGGGCAGUGAACAAUUAGAAUGAACAGUUUUUCAUCAAAUGCCCCUCCAUAAAACCAUUUCCCAGGAAAUGGAACACAGCGUGGAGCCAGCUGACUGCAUUUUCCACCAACAAUGAGCCUUGUGGGGAACAGGUACUAUAUUUAAAUGAUUUUCCUCCUGCUUUCCGCCAAGUCUGUCUUUCAAGGAGACCUACCAUUGCUGUGCUGGGGCUCCCUCCCCUCUGGCCAUCAGGAUUGGAAAUGGGAAUAGGCCCUGUCUCUUCAACACCCAUGUGUAAAACACCAAUAAACAAACCAGCAAAGACCUACAGGCCUAAUUGCCUUUUAACUCCACCAAGAUGAUAAACUCCCAGAGCAAGAAGGAAAGACUCCCAGGGAUUUAACAAGUUUAUCUGCAGGCCACUUGAACGUUUUCUGUCUGCCUACACUUCAGUGAGUUCACUAAUAAAAGGAAAAAGGGCCUGAGCCUCAAACCCUUCAAUGACUAAGAAAUCACAGAUUUAAAACGUAUGGCCAGCAAAAAACCAACCCAUUAGCCAAGUGUUACUUUAGGUGUUUGUAAAGGCUGAAGUGAGGAUAGCAGGCACCGCUCAUUCCCAGCCCUGGCCACUUCCCUUCAGAGAAUUGCUUGCAAAACAACCCAAGCCCCCUCACAAGGAACCUGCAAAACCUUUAAGUUUAAGUCAAGGGACUGUAGUGCCAUGGAGAGCAGAAACCCACACUGGUGAUGGGGAAGGGUCCCCAGCAGCUUCUUAACAAGGGCAUCUCUCCUUGAAGGGAUUUCUUAGUUUUACUUAAUGACUGUUUCUGGUCAUUUACAACAUACCAUUCAGAAAACUAACUAACUAACUAACUAACUAGCUAACUAACUAAUCCCAAGCAUUCAGAACUUACUGAAGUAAAACUGAAAAAAAUAAAAUCAAACAGAACUAAACCACUUUCAAGUAAGUAGGAAGACUGGAGACCGGAAGUCGGGGCGUGGCCUCCCUGGGAAGCUGGUUCCCAAUGGUUAGUUACCUUUUAUGAAUGUGAAAUUUCACUUUGUGAGUUUCUAAAGAAAUGAUAGGGUAGAUAGAGGCUAAGCAUAAGGAGCCUGAGGAGUAACAGGAGGCAUUUUAACAAGUACCCUGUUUGUCCUUUAGGACUGGAGAGAGAAAGUAAAUGAUUUUGGAGGCACACAAUGGAUGUAAAUAGGCAAACAACAAAGAGCAGUUAUAAAAACCUCCAAAAUAUGAUUUCAUUCUUUUUCAUCAGGCUAGAUAUAGAAAACUAAAAACAAACAAACAAAACCCCCAAACAACAACAACAACAACAACAAAACCCAACUAGUUCCCUGAAAUGUAAGUAUUUCUAUGGGUAGAUUUAAGGGAUUUGACUUUCUUACACAGAGACUUGAAUUAAUUGGUAAUCUGGUUAAAUUUCUCAGUGCUGGGCUAAGCAAGCACUCUGCCACUGAACUUUUAAGUUAUUUAAUAUUUCUUAUUUUACAUGUAUUGAUUUGUGUGUGUGGGUGUGUGGCAUGAAGGGGGGAAACACAUCCCCAGAGGCCAGAGGCCAGCUUGGGGGAGUUGACUCUUUCUGACUAAUAUGUAGGUCACAAUGAUCAUACAAGUACACCUUUACUUGCUAAGCCAUCUUCCCAGCUCCAACUAUUUGAAAAUGUAAAUAAUAAAUCUAUAUCAUGUGCUGCAUAGUUUUAUGUUCACUUGAAACAUGCUAUAGUCAUUGGGAGGAGAGAACCUCAGUUGAGAAAAUGCCUUUGUAAGAACAAGCUGUAGGCAAGCCUGUAGAUCAUUUUCUUAGUGAUUGAUGUGCUCAGCCCACAGUAGGUGCUGCCACCCCUGGGCUGGUGGUCCUGAUUCUAUAUGAAAGCAGGCUGAGCAAACCAUGGGGAGCAAGCCACUAAGCAGCACCCCUCCAUGGCCUCUGUUCCUGUCUCUAGGCUCCUGCCCUGUGUGAGUUCCUGCCCCGACUUCCCUCAAUGAUAAACUACGAUGUGGAAGUGCAAACAAAAUAAACCUUUUCAUUCCUAAAUUGCUUUUGGUCAUGGUGUUUCAUCAGGUGUAACCCUAAGACAUAUUCUCUUGAGAAAUUAGUUAAGAAACUGAAGCUGAUGAGUAAAUAAAGAAAAUUAAAACACCAACAAAAAACCCUUCUCCCUUCUACACCAACACCAAAGAGAGCCAUGUCUGAGAUGGCAGGGGACAACCUUGCUUCUUUUCUUCUGAGAGACACAGACAAGGACACAUGUGAUGACAUAUGGCUUUAGUUGGAUCAUAAUCUCCAGUGAAAUGAGAGCUCAAUGGAGAUAGUAGCCAUGGGCUCAGCUCUCAGCAGUGACCUCCCUGGGUACCCCCUGCUUCUCCUGAUCCUUCCAUCAGGGGACAAAUACCCUGCCUGAGCUCCUCUACCACACUGGCCUGCUUCAUUUACUCAAGCCGGAGUAGCCCUGGAGCAGGGAGCUUGCCAAGUGAAAAACCUGGAUUGCUAUUUUUCUAUUAAAAUCUUGUCCAUGUUUUUCCUAUUGGAACCUGGAAACAGGACAAAUUCUGAAGGGAUCCAAAGGAAUUUCUUUAGAAAAGAAUUCUGUUAACACCAAAAGCUCCCCGAGCGCCACACAAAGCAAAUGCUAGACUUCAUUAGGCUGAAAUGUGUAAGCAGAGUUCAAACCCAAACCGAGCCGUCCUUCGCAGCAGGCUGGGCUGCAUCAGGGCUUAUGCGCUUGUACACUGAUCCUCUCAUAUGCCUGCAACUCCCUGCUUCAUCGGUUCAUAAUCAGCUCCAGAUUCUCUAUGGCUCCCACAGUGUGAGCCGUGGAGCUUCGGAUUUGGGAGAGGUACUGUUGAAGGGUAUGGAAGUACACAGGAAAUCUGAAUAGAAAUACACUCCCAACUGAAGUUACGGUCCCUAUCCCUGAGAAGGGACGAAUGGACAACAUAACUUGGAAGCUAACUAGUUCAUCCCAAGAGACUGUUAGAACACGGAUGUGUACAAGGAUGGUAUGUAGAAAUGGAUGGGAGAGGUAUUGACCAAUGAAAGGAGGAAGAUGAAGAUGAAUGGAUUCUUCUGAGCAAUGAUGUGUCUGUGUCUUAGGUAUGUCUGCCAGAGCCCUGGGAUUUAUCCGGAGUUAGCUUCAACCCCGAAGUUCAAACACUAAUGAUCUCUCUGGGGAUUUGAAGGGCUGCUCUUAAAUUCAUUAAAGUUUUGUGACAUCAUAGAUGACAUUAUUACACAGGUAACAUCAGUUCUUUGUGGCCAAGCAAGUGACCGUCACAUUGGAAGCCUGCAAAUCAGGAUUAGACUUUCUUUUUCACUUUGAAGGCAGCUCCACUCCAUGGAAUCAGUGAGUGACCCCAGGGCAACUGUGUGACCGACUGCUGUUAUCAAAUGUGUUUAAAAUAGUCAUUCUUUUCCAGACUGGAUUAGUUUUAAUUUCCGUUUUCAAAGUGAUAGCUCUGCUUGAUAUUAACACGAAUCUCUUCCAGUAAAAUAAUUAGGAAGUGAAUCAAAAUUUUAAAAAUCUAAAUGUAGUGUAUUUAACUGACUUGAAGGCUAUGCAGAAUGUUUGGAUGAGUAAACUCGCUUUACAAUUCUGCCUUCAGUGGCGUGGACUCCGGCUCCAGAGACAACGAGGCGUUUUCUCACAGCCCACAUGAACCUUGGGACUAGCAUCUACUUGCUUUUCACAGUGACUCUGCACAUUCCAAGGAAGCCGGGGCAUAAACAUACAAGCUUUCACCCUCUAACCCCACUAGUCUGCUUCCUCCAAAACCCAGCAUCUAAAACAUCUCCUCUUCACAGGUAUAUGGUCUUGGAUUUGUCACGCUGAAUGUGAGACUUUACAAGGCCAAUAAAAGGACAGCCGGACAGAGGGGACUGGGUGGCUUUUACCAACUAUGAAACACCGCAGCCUUUAACUCCUGAGGAUCAGGAACUUGAAAGCACUGAGAUCCACUUAGCUUGGUGUCUGUCAUAAAGUUAAGGCUAAUCCGGAUCCCCCACCCCCACCCCCCCCCACCCCCGGACUUGCAGCUCUAUCUUAAACCCUCAGGCUUCUCCUAGGCAGACUUAACUGAUGGAAGACUUGAUUAUGCCUUCUCAGGCCAUAAAUUCUAGAUAUUUAUAACAUAACUGUUGUCAUUUGGGUCAAUUAAGAUGCUUUUACUGGCUUGGAACAACCACCUAUGGGGCUUGUCAAAUACCCUGACAGUGGUUUAUGACCCUGUAUGGUGAUUUUAUCUUACAGGGAUAUGAAGGAUGCCUGCAUAGAAAAAUCACCAGGAAGCCUCUAAAACGGGUUUUUUUCCUAUUUCGUGAUAACCCGCAUCUAGUUUCUACUCUGUCUCCUUUUCUAUUCAGGCAGAAACACAGUUUGACUUUCAACUCUCUCCUAGAUUUGACAUCUGUGAUCACCUUUUCUCCUCCAAAGACCUAAGAGGAAGAGAUAAACACCUCAUGAGACACUCUAUCAUUAAAUACAACACAAAACAAAACAACACCUAAAAGGUGGAUGGGCUGGACACCCAGCUAGGACAUGCUGGGCUUCCCAAUGUCCAACCUUUCUCUGACAAGUGCUUGCUUUCACUUGAGGGAUAAACACUCCCUCAGGAAAAGCAGAAUAGAUGACAACAAAGAAUGGAAUUUAUUAGGGGAUUUCACCCAGACAGGUUGUAGCUUCUGCCUUUGUGGGAUAUUGCAUCCUGCUGUGUCUUCCUUUAAAGGAGCCCCUAGGCACCUACUGUUUCCCAGGCACUGGGCUAGGCUGGGAUAAGAGAGCUCAAGGAAAUCCAGGGGUAGGGGUGGGAGGUAGGGUGGAGAGGCAGACAUAUUUACAAUUACUAUGCCAAGUGUUAACAAACUCCAGGAGAGUUAAGUGCAGGAAGGCUGAAGGCCUUGAAAAGUACUGUUCCUUCUUUAGUGGGAGGAGAUGUCAGGGAUGAUUGCUUGAAAAGAAGCACUUCUAGUUUGAGCCUUCACAAAUGCAAGGAGACAGGGAGGCCAACUGAAUGGCAGAGUAUUUCCUGCAGGAAAAGCAAAAGCCAAGGAUGGAUCCGAGAAGACAGGGUGCAUGGGGAUUUCCCAUAGCUCUUCAUAUAGGUAGUCAGCAGUGGAAUGAGCUGGGGCUGAGAGGAUCCUACAAGGCACUGACUGCAUUCCUCUGCCAUGAUCUUUCUCCCUCCUUAGUCAAAGGGGAUGAGGCACAAUGGCAUGCUCUCCCCAAAGCCAUUGCUCUAUGCCUAUUGGCUCCAUACCCCCAUGCAUACCCAGUUAACCCCCCUACACCCCAGACUAACUUGGCAAGCUUCAUUCUGACCUGUCACACUCCUGGGUUAGAGAACCCUUCAAUUUUGAUUCUCAAAACAGCAUGCUUGGUAGAAGCCAUGUGACACAUCUAGAGCUUCACCUGGUAAACAAAGGACAUGCUGACACCAUGCAAGACAUUGUAGUAAGGAUGAAUCAGAAAGGCGGUGGGGGAGGCAUGGCUUCAGAGUGCUUCAGGGGUACUCAGUGACAUAUGCUGAGUGAUCUUUAAUGGUCUUUAAUGUUGUUGUUGUUGUUGUUGUUGUUGUUGUUGUUGUUACACCCUGCAACAUUUCUGAUAAUACAGCUUCAUUUGAAAUGAAAGGCCAGAAACAAACAUCUACAUGAAAGGAAAACAGCACCUGAAAACUACAUCACAACAUGGAAAAGUCUACAUCACAGAUGAUGCUAGCUAUUGGCUACCAUUAAUGUCCCCAAACUUGCUGCCUUAAAUAUGCUAUGUAAACCCAGGGCCAGGAAGUGACAGUGUGGUUCCAAAGGCCACAAGCCACCAGGUGACAAAAAGUUAAUUUUCAAAAAUAUUAUGAAAGUGUUUGCUGCUAUUAAAAAUGUAAAAUAUUCAGUUUUGUUUGCUUAUACUCUAUUUUGUUCCAAAAAGGAUUAAAAUAUCUAAAAAACAAACAGAAGAGGCUCAGGUUUCUAAGGAGGGAGGUGGGAGGGAUGGAGUUACAUCUACCAUGCCAACAUCAGGCUGGCUAUGAAUGGGAUGUGGACAGCACUCACAUAAACAUGGAAAGCUUUAAAACCCAACAUCAACACUCAACUCUCCAACUCUUCCAGCACUAAGGGAGGUGGGAACAAAAGGCUUUACCAUCUCUCAUUUGUACCCAAGACUUGGGCGCAAGUCUCCUUUGCAAGUAGUGGGGGUGGCAAAAAGCCACAGAGCACAGAGGUCAAAGUUCUUCCACCUGGUUCAUGCUGCAUGGAGAAGACACUUCAGAAGACCCUUCAGCCUCUGCCUCUUACAGACGAAGCUAACAUCAGUCUUCAGGCUCAAGACUAUUGUGAAGAUUCUAGGAAGACACGUAACAGUGUCCAUGCCUAGUCUCUCUGCACUGCUGAAGGAACAGUAGAUAUGUUGUCUUGUAGUCCUCUCUAGAGAAGAGCCAGAAGGAUAAGGGACAGGGCAUUGCCUCACCAUAAAAACCCACAAAAGAUCACAAGAGAGAGACUCAAAGAAUGAAAAGGAAGCUCCGAGAAAUACUGGCUUCUAAACUCUCAGAAAAUUGAACCAGGACUUUGAGAGCUUCAACAGGUCAGGAGAGGAAGAUAAGGCCAGCUAGAAAAACUUAGAGGAAGCUUUGAGGAACCACUUCUAAGCCGACUUUCAGAGAAGGAUUCAGGAAGAUAAUAGGGCAUUUUUGGAUAAUGGCAAGCCAUCAUCACAAGGACCUGGAAAAAGCAAUGAAUACUAUUUUAAGAAGAGGAAAAAAACACACCAUUAUCUGGGAAUGGUAAGGAAUUCAUAAAAACCUGCAGGGCACCCAUCUCAGAGGGAAUCUGAGAACCAGGCACUGAACCUGAGAGAUGUGCCGAUCAGGGAAGAGACUGGUGGGGUGCCAUAGCUGACUGAGGUCUGUGGAUUAGGUGGGGUCCCAGGGUUAUGAGUCAGGGAAACUGCCCCCAGAAGUUGGAGGUAUGUGGGUCACACUAAAACUAUGCUAGGAUAGGCAGGGAGUAGUGGCUGGAAGAGGCACUCUGUGAGAAAAACUGGCUAACUUCUGCUGUUGAUAAGACAUUAAGUCUAGCUAUACAGGGUCUGGCAUCAGCUCAUUGUAAACACAGCUUCCUCCAUAUAGAAUGGGACUAAAGACUCUUGACUUCACAUGGACUUCUGCUGGACUCUUCCUAACGUGGACCAAACAAACAAACAACAACAAUAAAAACAGUGACAAUUUGGGUGAUUUUAGUAUGACAAGUGGUUAAUCCUCAGGUUCCUCUUUCAGGCUUAUUUUUUAAAAAUGACUUUAAAAAUAAUUAUUUAUAUAUUUAAUGUAUGUGAGUACACUGUCCUUGUCUUUAGACAUACCAGAAAAGAGCAUCGAACCUCAUUACAGAUGGUUGUGAGCCACCAUGUAGUUGCUGGGAAUUGAACUCAGGACCUCUGAAAGAGUAGUCAGUGUUCUUAACUGCUGAGACAUCUCUCUAGCCCUCUUUCCGGUGUAUUAACAAAUACCAUCAGACAUUCAAUGUCUGUUCAAGAAGUCAAGGUAUCCGCAUGAAUGGAGACACAGUCACUGUGUCCUCAUGCCAGCCAUCCAGCUUGCUUCCAUCUCUUCCUGGACGUGUCUUUCUGAAAAUAUAAGGCUCAAGGACAAUGGUGAUGGUUUGUUUCAUUUAAAAGAGAUAAUACAUUACUUAAAAAAAAAUAAAAGCUAGUACUUUUGCCUUAUUUCAUAUGAGGAAGCAGAGAGAAGAUGACACACUGUACUAGUGAUUACCUGCCCCUUUUAAGCUCUGUCAGCAACACAAAGGCUUAAAACCGAAGCUUAAUCCAGGGCACAUUAUCCCUCUAAGCCCAUGCCUUAACUCAAGGGGACCAAAAGGAAUGUCUGCAUUUAUGCAGGAGUUUGCGGUAGGUUCAGUUAACUUUUAAGGAGUACCCUAUUCUCCCAAGGAAUCUAAAUCUAAAUCUAAAAUGGUCUUCUGCUUUGGUUACUGAAAAACAUUUUUCAUCUUAACUUUCCCAAAGUCCAACUUAUACAAUACAAACUAUAAAGAUGAGCUUAGUCUGACCUGGUAAGUCUGGAAUGAACAGCUAAGGAUGUGGGUAGCUGGGGGAAUUCUUGCUUAGCACACCUUUUUGAUCCUGAAAAACCAUCACUGAGGGCCCUGAGCAUACAUGCCUUUGCUUUUCCAUUAAGCUCAUGGUAUUUUGAAACAAAGCUUUGAGAAAACCCACAUAAUCAAAGGAGAUCAGGCAAAUGCCCAACUGAUGAGUUUAGUAGCCAACCCUGGGAGUCAAUGGAUGUAAGGACUUCAAAUCAGAUGGUCCAAGAACACAGCAGGAGAGAAUCAGUGGGGCACCUUCUCCAAGCUGGAUGAAAGGUUUUCUCUAAGAGCUCUGUAGCCUACCUGGACCCUAUAUGGCUCUUUUCUUUUCUUUUCUUUUCUUUUCUUUCUUUUUUAAGCAUCUUACUAUGCAACAAAUGAAUGUUACAAUGUAACAUUAGCUUUGAUUAGCCAGCUAUGCUUCCUUGAUGAAUCAAGCCCAAGGUUAGUGAUUGCUUUGACUACAGAAGGAAACAGGUGGUUUACUGAGAUUUCUGGAUGGGUAGCAGGGGGAAGGUAACCUCUCAAAGAUGGAUGUCAUCAAAGAACUACUACUGUUAUCAGGGGAAAAGAUAUCCCCCGCCCUCAGAAGCGCCAUGGCUCUCUGAGUUGCGGUCUCUGAGGGAUAGCACAGGUUAAAGGGUUCUUGUGCAGGGGUUCUGUAUAACAGCCAAGUGUCCUUGGGGAAGCAGCGACACCUCAGCCCCACUUUCUAGUCUCUGAAAUGAAACCUUCAGAUAGGCAAUGGGUUCCUGACUAUAUUGGAAUCAGCCUACAAAUAUCCUCUAUUUGCUAUUAGUACAAAGUUUCUAAAACCACAUCUCUCUCAAAUGUAAUUAUUCAAAACUAGGUAAAUUCUUUGGAAUGGAGAAAAUUUCCCUUAGCAACCCAGGAACAAAUAGAAACUUGGGUUUGAUGCCAUUGUAGUACUGGAUCUGGAUCUAUGAAACAAAGCAGAUUGGCCAUUUGGGGGACCCAAUGCUGUCCCUUUACAAGAUGAAAGCUGUAAAUGAUUUAGAUGAGUGAAGAGACACCAUCUUAACAUGACAAAGCUGCAGGGCCACCAAGCUCCUGGGCUUGCUAAGCUUCUGAGUUCAGCUAUUCCUCUACAUUUCAGUAGCACCGACUUCAGCAUUGCUUGGGUCUGCUGCCAUAUUUCAGUGCAAGGAAGAGAUGUCAAAGUCAUAUCACAGCUACUGAUCCCAUUCUUCUAGUGACUGAUAGAUUCUCUCUUAUUUUUACUCAACUUUGUAACUUUUAAGUAAAUUUCUCACUAAACCUAAUCUAAAAAACAAAACCUAAAACCAAACAAACAAAACACAAAACCCCAACACUUGCACAACAUUUAUAUCUUUUCUACUUCCAUUCUGUUAUAUAAACAGGACGAGGUAUAGAGUUAUAAUUCCUACAGACAUUUAUAUGGCAGUGAUAUUUUCACUGUUCAGAGAGAAUACGACUCACCAGCAUUGUCUAAUGCCACAGCACCAACUCCCCACUUGAUGUGGCCACUGAGUUCCUUGGAAAAUGAUCAGUGUGACGGAGGAACUAAAUUUUGCUUUCUAUCCAAUUUGAGUAGAUUCAAAUUGUGUAGCUUUGAAAAGCCUCGAAGUUCACCUUUUAUGCUUGUGAAUCACCUCUUCUUGUUUUGUUGUUCUGUUUUCUAUUUUGUUCAUUUAUGUCUUUGAUUUACAUCUUCUUGUCUGUAUUCACUCUCACUGUUCUUAUGAACACCAGACAUUAACCAAGAGAUAGUUUACAACAACAGGAUCUGUCCAGCUGAAAUCCCUUCUUCCCCAGAUCUCAGUCCUCAGGCUCAGUACAUGUAUAUGUAUGUGUAUAUGUAUAUGUAUGUGUAUGUAUAUGAUGUAUAUGCAUAUGAUGUACCUGUGGAAAUGUGGUUGGGAAGAGAAAAUGAAAAGCUAAGGAAUCCCAGAGGAAAGCAGGCCAGGCCCUGGCUGUUGUAAUGGUUUCCCUUUCCCAGAAUGAAUCAUCUGAAUCCAGUGCGACCACGAGAGAUAGGCAGAAGUUCUGGGUCUCAGCUAUGGACUUGAACUCCCAUGUAACUAGAUUCCUCCUGGGAAGGGUAGGCCCUGACAGAAGAUACUUUAUAGCGUGUCCUGCUGGCCCUGAUGAGUUGGGGAUACCAUAGAGCAAUUAUGUGGGCGAGUUGUUAAUAUGGAUGGAACUGAGAAUUAAGAGGAUAGCUCGUGGGAAUUUCUGCCACUUGAGAUGGAAACGGCAGAAAAGAACAGGUAGUUGACUGUAAAAAGCCGUGUAGAAGGGAAUGUUAUUCAAGUUUACAGGCAACAUCUCUCCAUAAAACCAGCAUCCACUACAAUCCCAGGCCUUGCUCCCUGCUUCAUGCCAAUGAGCAAUCUGUACUAUGAAACUGGAUAUGCAUGGGGUAUGGCACUCGGGGGUGGAUGAGACUGUCUCCCAGAGACAAUCAGAAGCCUUGAGUAAUGAACUCUGGAAGGCUCAGGCUGUUUCAUCUUUGAUGACUGAACUUGGGUGGUAUUGGAAGACUUACUCCAAAGGACCCCCAAAUCCUAAGAAGUAAGAGGGACCAACUUAAAGCACAGUUCUUAGAGUGACCCGGGGAAUACUUUAGAUGAUGUUAACUUGGGAUUUUCCUCGAGUCCUUCAUAGUUUCUUAUAUUAUUCUUCACUUCUUACUACUUCUGGAUUGAUUCUAAAUGGACAAAGAAUCCUAAACCUAUGUAUUAUGUAAUUUUUACACACAGAGCCAAUUCUGCUAUAAAGCAACUAGCUGUACAGGCUCAAAAAGGUACACUCCACAGAGCAGGCAUUUAGCUACUGAAUGCAGGUACCUGGGUUGAAAAGUAAUUAUUCCUAUUACUAUGGUGACAAGUACUAUAGAGAGUUUAAAAUAGGGGACAUCGACAGGUAGGACCUGGGAUAUCUGGAUGGCCCUGGGUUGGUAUAGUCUAGGUAGGUCCCUUUAGAAAGCAACAGUUGAGCUGAGUUCUACAUGAUGGGAAACAGCCAAAUCAUUAGUGACAGAGGCUGUGGUGAGCUCAGGUAUAGCAGACUGUGAGAUUCUGGGGUGGUCACAAGCUAAGUCCGUCAGCAGGAGGGCAGAGAACAAGCUGUUAGUUUAGGACUGGGUGAACAUAAUGUAUGGUUAUAUGACAAGAGGGUUGGAACAUACAUGGGUCCAGCUGGAAACAACCUAGCAAGCCAGAGUAAGGACUGUGGAUUACCAAAAUGAAAAAGCUCCCGAAAUAUCUAGAACCCCUUCCCUUAAGCAUUCUGUCAGCAGAGAUGAUUUUUAUAUUGCCUUUCUCUCUCCAAGGAGAUAGACACUAAUUCAUCAGGAAGAGUUUCCUCAAAGAAAGGAAAGAUUACACUAAUACCUUUUGUUUGAUGAGCUGGGGAAGGAAUGGAGUUCUUCCAAAUACUCACCAAGCAUCUUUAACCAUCAAAGUUACCACCACAGGGGCUUCCCAGAGACCAAGCACCUCCAUGGUAGGCACAUAAAGUUAACUCAGGUAGGCCCAACCCUGUUGAAGGGCAUGCCAACCUCUGGAUUUAAUACAAAUAGUUUUCCUGCCACUGGGCAAAGCACAGAAGAAUAUGUGUGCCCGCUGAAAGUGGAGAUGGAGAGCGAAUACCCAGAGCACCAGCCUGAGAUCUAGAUAAGGCUAGAGACACUGAGAGUGGGAAAAUCCUGUAACACAGACUAGAAAGAAGGAACUGCGGCAGUAAUGAUUGGUUUGAGGGGAAAGCAUUUAGAUGGAAAGAAUUUGGAAGGUAAGAACUUCCAGAUGGUCUUGCUGGUGGAGAUAGCUAUAUAUAGAGACAGAGGGGCUAAUUAGUUCCUGGGCCGAGGCCCCGGUUUCUGUUGAGUGAGUGAUUGUCUUGUGGUGGUUUAGUUCAAUACAUGCCACAUCGUGAGUAAAUUAAGUAUUUGAGGGUUUUUAUUUUCCCCAAGCAAUGGGAAUUGCCCAACCUUAAUAUAAUUAAUUAAGAGUCAAUGAAUGUUUAAUUUAGUUCUGGUGCUUGUACCAGUAACACAAUGAGCUCUUUGUCUUGGCCAAGGCUCCUAAAUAUUGGGAAAGGGAGAAAAACUGGAAAAGAGCAAGGCUUAGUCAAUCGUUUUCUCCCAAAUACUCUGAUUCACACAUUGCCUCCCUAGUAUAACAGCCCAUCCAGUGAAACCCAAGAGUUUGCCCCUGAGGGAGGCUGUGGAUCUAGGAGGAACAAUGUCGCCUCACUCAUGCCUUUCGGUUGGCACCAAGAGUUACAAGUUACGCUUUCGAACUCCAGUUUGGUCAGAUGACUGGACUAUCUCAACUGUCACAUGCUCAACUACGCUUUCAUUUGGUGAGUUUUUAUUCUGGAGUCAUAAGCAGUCAAAAGAUGGUUGAGAAAAGCUAAAAGACAGAGAUAGGGACAGCCAUUGGGACAUUCUUUCCAGGGUGCUACAACCAAAUGAACAGCUUUUGGCUAGUCUCCAGCCAUUAUCUGGCAGGUGACUAGACAGAGAUGUGUGGAUUUUUAUCACUGCAGAAUUCCUAUUAUUGGCUUCUGAGAAAAUUCUAAUAAAAAAAAAAAACAGUAAAAGGUGCUUCUGCUUACUGUGUCCAUCAUGUGUUAGCCCCAUGUAUAAUAUUUUUAUUGACAUUACCACAGUCAAUGCUUGCAACAAUAUGAAGCAGUUGGGUUCUUACCAAUCCCCAUGGAGCACACAGAAGCUGAAGGCUGAGGUGUUCUUCUGCUUAGCAAAUAGAGGAACUGAGAUUAUAAUGCAAAAUGCUUGGUCUUGCAGUCUGCAUUAACUUGGACUUGCACCUGAUCCUGUGCCCAGUUAUUCUCUAAUUAGAUUCUCACUGGGUGUAUGAGUUGGAGAGACUACCAAAGAUCUGGGAGGUUCUAUGUACACCAUAGAGGAAAGCUCAAGUUUUAUAUCCAGGGAAGAAGCACAUGUGAGGUGCUAUUUCCAUAUCAGUCUGCUGAGCUGUGAAGGGACACAAAUGAUGCCUGGAUCUGAGAGCUUCUCAUCCACAUCCAGUCUUAUUGAGAACUAAUCUGUUGGAGAAGAGAAGAAAGGAGACCCAGGGUACAGAUGGGCACAAGGUUCAAGUCAUUGGAAUCUUGCCUUAAUAUACUUCUGGGGAGUGGUGACACUCUGACCAAGUCACAUGAGAGGAGACAGGGAGGUGAGGCCCAUUGGUCCACACUCACUUCUCUAUUCCCCUAGUUUGGUUUAAGUAGAGGCACAAGGACACCAUAGCUAGGCCUAUGGCUAAUAAGCCCUCAUUCCUACUACAUCCUGUAGGACAGUGGCCCUUUAAUACAGUUCCUCAUGUUGUUUUAUGGUUAUUCCUAACCAUAAAAUUAUUUUAGUUGCUGCUUCAUAACUGUAAUUCUGCUACUAAAUUACUGAAGAGUUAUGAACUAUAAUGUAGAUGUUUCUGGAGAUAGUUUGCCAAAGAGGGUCACGACCCACAGGUUGACAACCAUCUUGAGAUGAGUACAAGUCUAACAUCUAAUGUAGAACUUUAUAGCAAUAAAAUAGAAAAUGUAAUUCAUCUAAAUAAAUAUUGCAUCACAGACUCCAGGGGUGGUAAGAUUCUUGGAAAUUCAGGCAAAUAUAAUUUUUACUCAUUAACACCAAACUUGAUGCCCAAUACAAUUAUGUAGGGAGGCGGGGAGGAAAGGAGAGAAGAGGGGAAGGUGGUUAGUUUCAAUUUCCCACUAGUUAAAGGGUUUCAGAAUGCUCCUGAGAUAGUGACCAGGAGAGCCUUCAGCAUCCAAAUUCUUUUUUUUUUUUAAGAUUUAUUUAUAUGUAAGUACACUGUAGAUGUCCUCAGACACUCCAGAAGAGGGAGUCAGAUCUUGAAACGAAUGGUUGUGAGCCACCAUGUGGUUGCUGGGAUUUGAACUCCUGACCUUCAGAAGAGCAGUCGGGUGCUCUUACCCACUGAGCCAUCUCACCAGCCCCAGCAUCCAAAUUCUUAAAGCACCCUCUUCCUAUUUUGUAUCCUGUCCCCAGGUUUCGUGCACACCAUUACUAUCUGUCCAUUUGCUCGUCUCUCCAUCAAAUCCAGAUAGAAUCCUUGUGGCCCCACCUGCUAGGCAUGGAAGAGUGCACGAGAAUAAUCCUUUUUUAUAGGCUUUAGGACAAAUAACCAAUGAGUAGUCCCUUGCCUGGCUUACAGAAGCACUCAGUAAAUGCUUGCUUAAGAUCUUCACAGAGGAACCAAGAUAACACAGUCCGGAGAAGGACCUUGGAUACCUGGUAACCCUUCGCCAUUCGUGAGAGUGCCUGCCUGGUGCAGAGGAGGUACCCAUAGCUCUGAUUAAAUGAAUGAAUGGUGUAGUAGUGGAUAGUCAGCUAGAAGGAAAUCCAACCAAUUCUGCAUGGGGUGGGGGGGGGGACUUCCCAGGGACACUAGGUAGUAGUGUGUUAGUCCUGGGUAGGGGGUCAUGUCUCAGUUCAGGAGCUGUGAUCUCAGGACUCUGGAAUCAGAAGGACCUGGAUAGGAAUCUUGCUCAGUCGUGCAAUUACCACACAUCCUGGGGCAAGAGAGUUAUUUGUCUUUCUAAGACUAUGAAAGAAGAAUCUCCCGCUCUAGGUUGCUGGGAAGAUUAGAAAUUGGAAAAACACAAUGUCAGAGAGAGACGAGCAAAUGCUAGCAGGAAUUCCUGUUAGGCCCAGCUAGAAGCUUCCUCCCAUCCAGCACCUAUGUAGACUUCUUACUCGCCAGGCAUUAGCUAAGCACUCUCGAAAUGUCAACACACUCCUUGCUCACAAUAACCCUGUGAGUCAGGUACUGUUAUCUCCCAUUCUGCAGAUAAGGAAAAUGGGAGCAAAGAGGGUAAAUAGCAUGCCAGAGUCACAUAGCCAGGAAAUGGUCUAACAGGGAUUCCCACACUAGCAACCUGGCCAGUAUCUGAGCAUUUAACCCCUGUGAUGUGCUACCUGCUGACAGUGAGUGCAGGCUUACUUCUUUCUAAAAAAGAAAGAAAGAAAGAAAGAAAGAAAGAAAGAAAGAAAGAAAGAAAGGAAGAAAGAGAGAGAGAGAGAGAGAGAGAGAGAGAGAGAGAGAGAGAGAGAGAGAGAGAAAGAUAGAUUAAAAGAAAGGAAAGAAGAAAGAAAGAAAAAGAAAGAAAAAGAAGAAAAAAGAAAAAAGUGGAAGGACACUAACCAAUGCUAACCAAACAUACUGCAAACCCCAAGGACAUUAUGUGAGAUAAUAUGUAUGAAUUAAGAAAACAAAAAUGUGAUUCUCAAAAUGGUCAGAUUAAUAUGUCUGACAUUCUGACAAAGUAUGACUUAUCAGGGACAAUAGUUUCUAGACACUCUUUUCCUACCCUGAAGCUCUUACUGUGCCAUACUGAUACAACCAUUUUGAUACUUACAGUUUGUUAGCUAGCAUGAUAAAAAUAUAUCCACCAGAGGUUUUACAUGAUAUAAUUUAAUUUCGUAACUCAAUGAAUUAGAUGUUGCUGUCCAUUAUUUCUAAAUAACAUGCAGAGAAUUUCCUUCACUUCCCUACCUAGGCUUCUUUCCUAUCCUGACACACUGUGAAGCUCAAUAGAGUCAACACCGAGCCCACCUUACUGGAGAUGCAUAAGCAAAUUCUGCAAAGGGAGCAUGUCAAAGGAAGCUCUAGGCUGGAAGAAGAAGCCAUGCUCUAUGAGAGCACGAAGUAAGAGAAUCUGUUUGUGCCAGAAGGGAAUUCUUCCCAGAGGAAACAGAGGGUAGGCAUGGUUUGAAGUUAAAGAUCCAGACAAUGGGAAAAAAGAUCCAAAGACCUUCUGGGCUCACCCCUGACUGUCUGUGAUAGUCUCAGUUGGGGUAGGUCUCAUCUAGACUCUUCAUCCUCACCCUUCACAGGGCAUGAAGCUCAUGACCCUCUCGACAUUUUAAUAAUUUUAACUACUGGAGAGACAUUACAGGAUGGAAAAGAAGUAUCCAAUAUACAGUGAUUCUUUGUUUUGUAUUUUCUCUGCCAUACCAAAUAUACAUGUUUGAAAAGUGAGCAACUGCUCUCUGUAUUACUUAGAAGCCCAGUGUGUAGACAGGCACAUUUGGAGACUUCAUAAACUAACUCCACGUACCUUGCUCAUAGGGACAAAACCACUGGCUAACAAAUUCCUUUGCUGUUGGGAGUCUUAGAUCAGCUCCUAUUCUAUAGAGUAUCUGGCAAAGAACAGGUAUUUAAUAUAAUGUGUACUGAUGGCACAAGUGUAUAAGGACUUUGCCAUACAGUCAUCAAGUAUUAAUUGAUGUCUACCAUAUGCCAGGCACUGGUCUAGUCCCUGAUGCUACAGAAGUGGUGAAAACAGGCAGACAUCCUGUGCUUACAGAGCUUACAUCUACUGAUCUAGACCAGAUUAACACAUCUCUUCUCUCACACUUCAUUCACAGGCACAACUAUGGACAUUGCCCUUGAGUUUCCUUUAAACAUAUAAAUAUGACAUCAAUGCUUUAUCCUCCUGCAUGGUUUUCUUCUCAUCAGGAUACAAACCUUGCUUGGAAGUUAGAGGUAAUGGGUGAGAAGGGCCAUGUGUUCUGCUCACUUCCUGCACGGCCUUCUAGAGGUACCAUUGCAGUUGGGGACUCAAUCAUGGAGCACUUCAGAGGUGGGCAUGUUAGCUGAAACCUCUGCAUUGCACAGCUUAGCAUAAACCUUCCCACCUGUUUCUAAGUACAUGGCUUUGAAGUAGAUCUGAAGGUUUGGUUAGGAAUUCAGAUAGUAAACUAUGCAGACACAAAGCCAGUUUAUACCGAUUUACCCAUACUAUAACAGACAGAAGCUGAAAUAACAAAUUGUCAUUCCUAUUACUCACUGAUAACAAAUUGCUAUUAUUAUUACUCAUUAGUAUUCCUCUAUGUAUUAGCAUCUUCUCUAUCCUUUCAUUCCCCUGAAAAUUUCAAGCCAUAGACAACCUUGAAACGACCUGAGUAGUGUGUAAUUGUUUAUGCUAUUAUUCACUGGGCCCAGCUGGCUCUACUUCCAUGAUCUUGUCUGAAUUCUACCUACUAAACCCUCUUGAUCCCGGAUGUAGCCUGAUCCUGAUGGAGCUUCACAUAUGAGAUGUAAUCUUGACAAGCUAUUUGGAAUUCCUUCUGGAAAAAAGAGCAAAAAGUGAGAGCUAGCAUUCUUCCAAGGAAAUGAAUAAGUCUGAUAAAAAUGUCCAUAGAUGAAGUGUAAGAAGCCCAUCUGAGAGCCAGCCUGUAGAACCUCUGCUUAGACACUAGGAUUAGAUUAUCUUCAUAAAUGGCCUAGGAAGGAAGUGUGCUUCACUCAGCUAAGGCUCCAUCUCCUGUUUCCAGUUAGAGGCACCACCUUGCAUUUAUUGUGCGGAAAUGCUGGCAAAGCCAUGUCUAGAAGGAGCAUUAAAAGGAUCAUGAGAUUUGACUCUGCAGUAGUCUUUUGCAACCCAGUGAAGCAAUUCUUCUCCCUGGUACUACAGCAGCGAGAGCUCCCAGAGAGACAACCUGCCUUGGAUUUAUUAUUUCUUUUUUUCUGAACAUCCCUCCUUUGACCUCUUAUCCAGAUAAUCAACCACUGAUUAUUUUUAAAGUAUGCUAAUAUUUAGACAAAUCCUUCUAGAUCUCUCUCAGGUUGGAACAGGAAAUGCUUUGUGUCAUUUUAAUGUUUAUCAACAUUAGUGGUGAAAUCCUAUCAUACUGAGGGAAAGCAUUUUCAGAUGGGUUUUGAUAUGGGUUUAGGAUGUAAGGUCAGGAUCAGGCACAGAGAAAAAUCUGUGAUUGGGGGUGACUUGACUCACCCUCUUUGAAGAGCAACUGUUUCCACCACAGAUUUUGUUUUAAAAAUUCUUUUUGUUUUUGUUUUUUUUUUUAUAAACCUUUCUCCCAUCCUCACACUUAUCCAUACUAAUCGGGUGUGGGAAGAAUAAAACAAAUACAAACAAACACAUUAUUAGAUGUAAGGUUAGCAGCCCAGUAUUUGGGAAUGGACAAGUCUGGUCCUAGUCUUUAUCUUGGCCUUUGUCAGCGAAUGACUGUGGGCAAAUCACUCUGCCUCCAUUUUGCCAUUUGCAAAGUACACAGUAACAUCACCACCCCACAUAGCUGGCACAAGGUUGAAUGGGCCUCUCCCCAUGCAUGGGGCAUUGUAGAUGAUCCACAGUCAUCUAAAUGAAUGAAUGGAUCCACAGAUUCAUCUGUUCUCACCAAACCAGUAAUGUUCUAAAUCAGGGUUUGGCAAGCUACUCUUAUGAGAAGCCAGCAAGUAAAUACUUUAAGCUUGGCUGGCCAUAUGGUUUCCAUCACAAUGACUUAAUUCUAUGAUUCUAUGAUGCUGCAUGAACUCAGCCACAGAAAACAAAUUAAUGGGAGUGGCUGGUCUCUAAUAAAACUUUAUUUACAAAAGUAGGCAGGCAGUAGACUAGAUUUGCCCUGUAGGUCAUAGUUCUAUAGCCUUCACUUGCUAAACUCAAACCCUGGUCUGAAACUACAUAACUCAAUGAUGGUCUGUUGGCUCAGUGAUGGGCCAAAUCCAUCAAAGAGAGAUGAGGAGGUGAGUCUGUUAUACCCAGGUUCACUUGUAACACCCACUACUUCCCAUUAUACCUCAUAGUGUAGCAAUUUUAUGACAGUCACCUGCCUCCAAGUCUGUCUCGUGGCAACUCACCUACACAGCAAGGCAGCCUGAUAUGUACCCAGUUUCUUCCAGAGACCAGGCCUGUGGCUGAUAUCUUGGCAGGCCAGAAGCUCUCUUGGAAGAUUCCCUUUCUCUUCCUAUUCAAAUUAGUGACACCCAUUCAUUCUCUGUCUAAAUAUUCAGAGAUGAGUCAGUAACUUUCUUGCCCAUGUGCUGGUGUAAAGAGAUGACGUUCCUUCUACUACUUCUUUUAAUCUGAGAAAGAGAGCUGCGCUGUGGGGGUGGGGGGUGGGCAUGAACAACAGCUUCUGGGAGGGUUAUUGAACUAACUCAUCUUCAUGCUGAACAGCUCCAAGGUCAAGGCUCUGCAAGAGCUAGCUCAGUAGAGGGUCAGAGCUCAGAAAGCACGAAGAACUUUUCCUUGCACAAAUACUAGGGACAGAGAUGGGCACCCAAGUUGUCCUGACCAAUUCCAAAGGUCAAGUUAUUACGAUUUAUAUUGUGCUCAUAGGUGGGAUUGCAAGUGCUAAUUCACUCCAUAUCUCAUGUAGCCAGAUUGUCUAACUUAGUAUAAUCUGCAAACAUUUUACAGAGACAUGUGUUUCCCUUUGGUUGUGUGUGUGUGGAGGGGGAGCUCUUCUACUAGACCAAAAACACAAAAGAAACUGAUCUCUAUAUCCAUUAUGGGCCCUGCUAUAUUGGAGACUUUUCUUAUGUGUCCGUAGAAUGAGACUGUAGAUAGCAGUAAAGGCACUGGGGGAAUAACUUGGCAUAGUUAUCUCUCUGACUCCACAAGUUAGCUGUUGUUAUUUCCCCUAUUUUAUUGAUGAUAAAACUAAGGUUCACAAAGGUUAAGCCUUGUAGCCCAGGGUCAGAAAGCUAACCAAUGGCAAAAGCAAAAACUGAACUCAGUUCUGUUAGGCAAUAACUUAGACUCUUCUUACUCGAUUCAGUUUCCCCCACACAAUGAUUCUCCUUGUCCCAAGCCAGACAGUGACCCCAUUGGCCCUGCUUAUAUCAUGACUAGAAGAAGUCACCAUUCUCUUUUCCUGUGACUAUGUUUGUUCCAAGUGCCUAGAAAUUGCCCUCACCUAUAAAGCCAGGAUAAUUUUCCACUGUCAAUAACAUCCCAACUUCCUCCAAGAGAUCUUUGUAUGAACUAACUCUGUUUUUAGCAUUCAUUACAUUGUUAAAAGUACAAGUAGCUUUUUCUCCAUCUUUGCAUGGCUUCCCAAAUGGUGAAUGCUGAGUUCUUUCUUGGUGCAAACACAAGGAACUCAUAACUUUUCAAUGGAUUAUGAAAGUUAUUCCCCCAGGGGCUCAGCAAAGCAGUCAUCGCUAGGCAUAGCCUUCGCAUUACGUCAGUGAUGCUAAGCUAAUGGUGGUUCUUAAUAAUAUUAUUGGAAUUAUUAUUACCUUCAAUUAAAAAGUUGGCCAUGAAUGACUUACUACUUCAGAGAGACUCCCUAAAGAGUCACAUAGAAUUGGAAUCUUUUCACCAAAGGGUACUGUGAGAGGAGAACCAGAGUCCCUCUCCAUCCCCCUAGUAAAUAUAUUAUUUAAUAAAUACCCUACAUUCAAAUACUUUUAUGUCGUUGGCUGGUUACCAGAUUUUUAAAUUAGCUUCCUUAAAGGGUAGAUAGAGCUGGUUAAUCACUACUACUUUGUUCUAAAGCAUGCAAGGAAAUCAAGAGAAGUUUAAGCAUAUGUUCAACAAGGCCUAUUAGGAUAAUUUCAAUAGUAUCACUGUAACCUUCACAGCAGCAUCUUUCUGGAGGUGGGCAGCACAGGGAUGGGAUUCUAAGACCAGAUGAUGAGUGGUCUGUGACAUUACUACCUACUUCCUCCCUUUGACACCUUGGAAGCCAUGAGCACUGCUUGCUGCAUGCAAGGCCCGUGUCUUCUUAUUCUGAACAUAUAUUUACAACUAGAGGGAGUUCCUAAAGUGAAAAUAGGAACACACAGGCAAGCCAAAAGCAGCCUUUGUUGUCCCCAGAAUAUGAUGCUCAGGCAUCAUAUAAGUAGGUCCCCAACCUAGGAAGAUGAAGUCCAUGGGCCAGGAGGAGAAGAGUACCUUGAGACCUAAUACAGAGAGAAGAGAGUAAUCUAAUAGCCUGGAAUAGGGAUGGAUCUUGGAGAUCCAGUUCUAGAACUCUAGGAGAUGGAAUCCCUGAGGUCAGGAAAGACCAGAGACAGAGAAGCCAAGGGGAAUACAGUCAGGAGAAAGAGUGCAGGCUCAGGGCUAGAGAUAAAGAUACAGAGACAGAUUGUUUGACUUUUGAUACAAAUGAAAUAUGUAAGUAAAUAUUUAUUUAAUAAGUGAAUGAUUAAAUGAGUCAUACUUAGCAUCCUGCCUUGCCCCCAAAGCUCUACCAACUCUACAUCUGCAUCUAUACUAACUCUUACUUUUACUGAAAGACUUUCCCUUCCCACCCUAACCAAGCCAAGGUCCUUGUAAGAACAGAUAGUACUUUUAUGCCUAUGGAGCUUGUGACUGGAUGCAUAUUUGUGCAUAGGCAUGCAUACGAGUUCCACCUGUGUUUUUGGUAAGAUGACUUGCUUCAAGACCCAGGUUGCCUUGAGUUCACAAAGGUGGGAAACAGAGGGAAGGACAAGCCGGUGCUGCCUAGCAGGCAUCAGUUUGCCUUGAUCUGGAGUGCUGUAGCCAAAGAGAGUGUGUCAUAUCAGAGGACAUAGCUUAUGAGAGUCUCUGACAAGCUCUGUCUUGCCCGAUAUGAAGGAUGCUGAAUAGUGCAUAUCCCGUGGUUAUAUUUAGCAUCCCCAAGAGGAAACUGAGGCUGGAUGGAAGUGGCUUUGUCUACUUAUCCAUGUCCCAGGUGAUUUCCUUGACUGUACUGGACCCACUUUGUCAAGAAAUGAAGUACCACAUUUACAACCAUGCUCCAACUCUAGGAACAGCCUGGCAGCCUUCUUCUGCCAAACUCUUUGCUGUACACACACACACACACACACACACACACACACACUGCUCCUGCUAUGCACCUUCUGAAGGUCCUGCCCAUCACUCAGCCUUGGAAGCAGAACCCACAAACAGCUUGAUCUGCCUUAACUUGCAGAAUUGAAUGUCCAAGUGAGGACUCCGGCCUCAGGCUGGCUGGUGAUGUGCUCUUGUGACCCAGUGCUGAGAUAACCAAAAAGCAGUUUCCUGUCUAAAGACAGGAACAAAAAAAAAAGAUUCUAAGAAAUGGAAAGAGUCAUUGAUUACUGAAGGGAUGUGCUGGCUCUGGCAAGCGCAUGAUAGAGGUGGAGGAAGUUAGGUGGGACAGUCCCCAUCUCUAUGUCCAGUACAGCUGUGCCAUCCAAUUCCUGGCCAUGUACACAGGAUUUUCCACAAGCUCCCUGCAGGGAUACUUUCUGCCUGCUCAUAACUGCCAUGGAAGCAUCUGUGGCAGCAUCUGGAUGAUCUUUUGGAGUCUCACUCUGCAUUCUCACACUUUAGGGAGGGAAGGCGGUAGACUCAGACUCUGGAGAAGGAAGAAGACGGAAUAAAGCAGGCCAAGUAGAUGAAAAUUUUCUACUUCACGUCUCAGUGACUGGUUCAUGGAGAGGGAGUGUGAUAAAAAUUCAUACAGUGAGACUCCAUGGUGUGGGAGGAUAUUGUCUCCAUCCACCUUGGUACUUACACUGAUGCCUGGGGCUGGGGGGGGGGGGGGCAGGGGGCAAGGGAGAGGCAACUCUCAGCAGCUGUUUACUAUCUUACUGGAAUUUAGUGUGAGUCCCCCAGAGACCUAAGUCCCCUGGGAGUACAAAGUGGGGCUCUCAAAAAGCAGAGUGCAAGUGACACCUUUUAAAGCCCCUGGAUCAAGCCAUUCCUAACAUCCUUAAAAUCAUCAGACACUGCUUUUUCAAACUUAAAGCUGAUACAGUUCCUUUCCUCCUCUUCCCCUCCCCCCUCACACAAUUUAAACAGGUACAAGGGCCCUUCCAUAGUCAGAUGAGUGGGAGCAGCUCCCGUUCGUUCUCUCCUUUCCAACCUCCUCCAGGUUCUUGUGAUUAAAAAACAGAAAAAGUCAGUAGACUAGAAAUUUCCUUCCAACUCCCAUCCAGUGCUAACAGUAUAUUCAUCAUGGGGCCAUAUUUUUUACCAGCCAGCCAGUCUCCAGUCUCAGUUUGACUCGAGUGCCUCUUAAAAGCUGAAAUUACAGGUGUAGAACACCAGACCUUGCUGAGAAAUACUUACUGUUGACCAACAAGAUGUGGUACUUAGUGCUGAUUUCACUCAAAUCCUAAGGGCCAGUGUAUGGUAAGGAAGUGGAAGUUUCUCUUCCGCAGGCAGGAGCAUCAGCUCAGGCCAAUGGAAGCAUUCCAGGGGACUCACACACUUCCUGCCUUGCCACCCUCAAAGGAGGCACUCACUGUUUGCUGGGUGAAUGAAUAAUGAGGAAUUUGUAGAGUUGGAGGCCAGGCCCGAUUUGUGCCAUUCACUAAGAAGACUCUCUUCUAAACAUCUUGUUUACUAUUUAUUUUAUGUGUAUGUGUGUGUUAACCCUUAUGUCUGUGCAUGUGGAAGCCACAGAGAGGAUCGGAUCCCCUGGAACUGCUUGGGAAUGGGACUUCAGUCUCCGAGAAAGCAAGAGGAUUUUACCUGCCGAGCCAUUUCUCCAACAGAAUUCUCUAGUUGCCUCUCAUGCUUUGUGUCAACAUGUGCGCUUUUCAGAGCGCACAGUGCAGUUCUUUGGCCAACUCCCCCCAUGCCGAACAUUCCCUUUGGUGGGAUGGAAAAGGGAGAGGAAAGAAUUGCACCGAUUUAUGCAUAGAUUUAUCCAUGUUUUGCUUUUAAGACCAAGUAACUCAAAAACCAGACGAAGUGCAACAUUUCCUUCACAGGAAAACACUGCUUUACAACCCGAAGCCUGGAGGUACAUUUAUUUGCCUGGAGGGAAUAAUUACAAAAUCUUGUUACCACUUCACUUACCCAGUCUUACAUUUUCAUGAACAAAUGUGGCUCAUGAAAACAAUUCUUAUGAGUUUUAGGCUAAGAAGGAGCCUGUUAGCUUAGAGAACCUUCUCCGAGGGGCUGGGCUGCCUGAGCUGACAGGUGGGGCUCUGAGACAGGUCUUUCUGAUAGCCACUUCAGGUCAAGCAAGAAAUGACACCUGUCUCAGAAUACACGUCAGGCCUCAGUGACAAAGGUUUCUGGCUUUCUCUCUCCUCUGUGGAUCUCUUUCAGUCAUAUAUUAAGCCUUGAAGCCUCUUCUUUUGAUUUAAUACCAAUAUUUUGUGGUUUAAAAAAAAAACUGCCAAGAUGAGCUUUAUCCUGUGAAUUUUCAAUUUCUCCUUAAGGUUUUAUUAGGUCAAUAUAGGGAAUAAAAUCAGAUGCAAAUUUCUUCUAUAAACCACCAUUUCAUCGGUGAUUUGUUAAGAGGAUUAUUUUUGAGAGGUUAGAAUGUAAGUUAAAAAUCUGGAUUAGCAAUCAUCAGCUUAGAAGGCUUUUUACAAACAAACAAUAGAAAACCACCCUACUUAGCAUCAAUAUCAUCUGAUUCAAGGGAAUCAGCAUGAUCAUCAACCAUCCUUGUGUUGUCCACCGCCUCUAAUUCACCUUGGCUACAAAGAAUUUGAGCCUCCCUCUUUAACAGACAAGGUUGUUGUUGGAAGAAAACUGGGACCUGCAUGAGAGCCCCUGCUACUUUAAAACAAGCAAUUUCAUGGUAAUGACCAUGUUCAUAGUAAUAAGUAGGAAAGAGAUUGGGGAUUUUUCAUCAUUAAAAGGAGACAACAUUUGGAAGAAUAAGCAUACAUAGAUUCUUUUUAAUAAAAUUUACCCAGUUGGCUAGUUUUUUAAGGGGGAAAGAACGACACAGUUGUUGACUUAUUUGGCCUAGUUUUCUUUGCUCAGACUGAUUGUCUGAGGGCUUGAAGGGCCAUCCAUGUCUUCUGUCUGUUCCAUCAUUAAUAAAGUGAAAAACAGCAUAGACAUGUACCAUUUUCCCAUGGUGCCAUAGCCCCCCUCAUCCCCUCACUCACCCUGAAGUCCCUGGGUUAUCAUCAAGCUUAUUAAAUUUUUCCAUUUUUAAUUGAUAUCAUUGGAUAUGCCAGUGACAUAAAGCAGGCUUCGCACAUCCCCUUUCAUCAGUUCCACAAGGACUCACAUCCUCUGAAAACUUCACAGCCUCACUUGGAAAGCAUUGCGCAGUCGACUUUCACUGUGUAUUUGGGUGUUGAAAAUACCCAGAUUAUCUAGAAAAAGACAGGCACCCAGAGUUCAACAUCAGCCUGGUGGGAGGCCGAGCAUCAAAUGGGGAAAAAAAUGUCUAGGGAGGGGCCUCAAUCGAUAUGUGCUCAAUUAACUCACGGGUGUUUUAACAGAAUGUUGAGUUUGGCUCACUUGCAAUCUCUUUAAACCCCAGCCCUGAGACAUGAGUUUCUGAUAUGGAGGACCCAAGGAAAUCCUUGUGCAGUUACUCUAUGCUGCUGUGAGGUGGGUGUAGGAAGGGGAAGCCUGUUCCAGUCAGUCUCCUACAAAAGGGCUGUGGCAGACUGUGGCCCAUGAGGGGGAAAUAAUACAUUUCAGGCAAGUGUAGGUUAAAUAAGCCCUUGAGGACCAGUCCAUGAACUCCACUCUAGUGGAAAAUGAGGCCCACAUUCCAAAGCAAUUUCACAACACACCCAUCCCCCCUUUUAAUAACAGCCCAUUUUUACAUAGGGGGUUGCCUAUUCUGCAAUUCUGCAAUAGUGAAUUUGUGCUCAUUGUGUUUCGGGAUCACAAGGUGUGCCUGUUUCUUUCCUGCGUAUCAGUUUGCAAAAAGUAAUUGCCCUGCAAUUCUUAAUCCCACCGUUCACGCAUUCCUUUCUGCAUUGUCCUGGUUUGUCAUGUCUGACCUGUCACCAAAGUGCUGAUCUUCCUCAGCUAAAAUCCAUUUCAGAGCCAUCUUUUCACUUCAAGAUGUCUGGUAUGAAGGUGUUCUGUUUUGACUAAAAUAGCAAAACAUUUACAGAGUGUCUUUCCCAAUCCCAGCACCAACAACAAAAAAACCCAUCUGCAAAUGAAAUGGUAGCACUUGGAUUUGGGACUAGAGGGUCGAUGAUUUUGUAAGUAUGACCUAAUGAAGAAUAAUUGAUAUCUUUACCCCUUUCUGUGCUACAUACCGCGCUAGCAUUUUACAUGCCCAGUCUUUUCUUUCUUUUCUUUUCCUUCCUUCCUUUCUUUCUUUCUUUCUUUCUUUCUUUCUUUCUUUCUUUCUUUCUUUCCUUCCUUCCUUCCUUCCUUCCUUCCUUCCUUCCUUUUUUUUUCUUUUUUCUUUUUUCUUUUUUUGUUUGUUUUGAGACAGGGUUUCUCUGUAUAGCCCUGGCUGUCCUAGAACUCACUGUGUAGACCAGGCUGGCCUCGAACUCAGAAAUCUGCCUGCCUCUGCCUCCCAAGUGCUGCAAUUAAAGGCGUGUGCCACCACCACCCGACAGCCCAGUCUUUUUUUAAUCCCCCGAUGAAUUUCCCUGUACAGUUUCACUCUUCUCUAUGCCCAUGGGCUGUGAGUGCCAUUAGGACCAAGAACUGUUGCAUCCUCUUAUCGAGAACAGCAUCUGGAACAGAGCUAGUACCCCAUAAAUAUCUUCUGAAUAGUAAAACAAACAAACAAACAAAACACUGUACAGAUGGAGAAACUGAGGCACUGAGAAGUCACUUAUAAGCAAUUUGUCUAAGGUCAAAGAAAGAGUAAGUAAAAUAUUAGGCUUCAAAUAAAAUCUCGUAGUAAAACCUACAGUCUUCAAAGAUACAUCUCUCUCUCUCUCUCUCUCUCUCUCUCUCACACACACACACACACACACGUGCACGCGCACACACACACACACACACACAAAGUGUGUGUGAGAGAGAGAGAGAGAGAGAGAGAGAGAGAGCUGAGCACCCCACUGAUCCACAAAUUCUGAGAGGCCUGCCUUGUCCAUUUUCACCUUGGACUACUGGUCAGCCGCUGAAGGAUGCAUUCCUACCCAUCUAACCUAACCUGUCCUUACUCUGUUGGUAUAUUUAACUGUUUCUUGGUAACAUCACUAUUCCUCCCCUGUAGUGUGCCCCUGAUCUAUGGACUACUAAUUACAACCACCACAAGGUCUAUAACCAACUGGCCUUGGAGAAUGGCUUUUUGGCAGCAGCUGUGAAAGCUAAAUAAAGUUAUUUGGAAAUUAAUCUGAGGUUGAACGUUGUCUCACAAGUUUGGCUUUGGGAGGGAUGAAAGGAACCUAUGAUGUGGUAUAUAUAUACAUGUGAUAUAUAUAAACUUAGAUAUAUAUCAUAGAGGCACACCCACCAGUAUACUGACUGAAAGUUGAAGUAAAAUUAUCAAAGGAUAAGAAGGACUUACAACUGUGAUGUAAAACAUCAAGAAAUAUGUCCUGGAUUUCUGCAUUCUGCCACGUUACCAAGUAUGCUCUGAGCUAAGGAGAGUUAAAAGGGAGAGCAGGAGUGAGCAAAUUGAAAUAUCUUUAGGUAGACUUAAGUAUAGCUUCUGAGAUUACAAUUCAGAUCAGGGCUUGAGAUCCAUUUCAGCAUUCCUCAAUUGCUAGUCAUCUGACAAAGGCCUGCACAUAGGGAGGAGGCAGGCUGCCACUGCCUGAGAAGGGGUGCUUAUCUGAUCUUAGCCCAUCUUUCUUCAGGUUCCAAUCCCAGCACAGCUGGCCUCUACUCACAGAGGGCCUUGGCAGUACAGUACAAACCCCAGCAAGCCGAAGGCUGAUGCUUGUGGUCCUGCAGGGUGCCUUCUUUGUAGGAUGUGUCUGGCAGUAGAGGUGGUUUGAGGUGGCUGCUGGCAGUCAAGGGCCAGGCUCUGAAAUAGGGUAGUCCCCACUUGUACCCUGAUGGCUGGACACAAUGCCAUGGGGAAUGUCCACAGGACCACAAGAAAGUAAGAAAUGAUGACUCAAAGGUGGCAAGUCCCUUCCUCUCCCCCCAAAGCCAGAAGUGGGAGGGGCUGAUGGGCCCUCAUUCCUUCAUUUAGUGUUCCAGCAUUCACUCAUCUACCUAUUCAGUGACUGAUCUGCUCAUCAUCCUUCAAAGGGUGACAGAGUUAGGGUUUAAAAUUGGGAGUGCUCAAGGCAUGCUCAUGUUUUAAGCAUUUGGUUCCAAGCUGGUGGUACUGGUUUUAGAAGGCCAUGAAACUUUUGGGACACAGGCCUAGAUGAUCGAUGUUGCCCUCUGAGGAUGGGUUUAGGACAUAUAUGGCAGCUAUAAUUCCUCUUCCGUCUCUACUCCUUGACUCUCCAUUUGAUGACAGCCACUGCUGUGGAGCUGUUCCACCAGGCCUUAGCCUCUUUGGUGGUCAGAGCUUCUAGAACCAGGAGUCCAGGUAAGUUUUCUCUUGAAACUUUCUGUUAGGUGUGUCACCACAGUGAGGAGAGAAGAUAACACAGGGCAUAAAACACAGCCAUAACCAAGCUCGGGAUUUGGAAGAGCACAGAGUGUCUUUUGUGAGACUUCCAGGGUGCUCCCAAGGCUGACCAAACUCCAGCAUCUUCAUCUAUACAGAGGGAACAUCAACAUAGCUCACCCCUCCAGGGGAUGUGGCCCAGAGGCCCUGAGUAUUCCCUGAGCCCCUGAAAUAAUUGCCUGGUACAGAGGGAGUACUCCAACCAGGUACGGUUGGUGGUUCUGUGAAAGCUGCUGCAAAGCAGGUGACUGGUGCCUGUCUCUGAGUGCCAACUGAGCAAGACCUCUGCUCUGGGUGGCUGUCAUUGGGCAAAAGAGCAUAACUCGUGAGCAAGAGGGUGUGUAAAAAGUGAAAACAAUUAUAAAGACCAGAGGAAAGUCCCUCAGAAGAUGUGAGGAGUCUAGGGUCUGUCUGCCAGGAAACCCUGUCAUGCCUGCCUGACAACCGUGCCUGCAUAACUUCACCAGGGAACAGGAACAUUUGCCCCUUGUGGGAGAGAGCUUACCUAGAGCUUCAAGUGGCCCAAGGAUCAGAGAAGUCUAGCCCCUUCCAAGACAGCUUUGUGGGUCACUGUGGUUAGGAAAGGGAAACACACUGGGGGGUGGGGUGGGGUGUCUGCCAUUCUAUGCUUCUGCAGAGUGAGGCCCAAGAAGGACACAGGAGGUAUUAACACCUCAGGAUUAUUUCACAUGCUAGCUCCUGAGACCAUCAGGGGCACUCUAAGCUGUCGCCCUACCUUCUGUUUGGCGUUCCACGGCCACCUGCAGAUGCACAUCUGUGAUGACUUGCAGGGACACACACCAGAGUGUACUUCUGUCUGCAAGUCUGGCAUUGCUCACUUGCAUAUUUAAAACCCUAGACGUUCUACAAACGUUUAACUGGCUUGGUUUAAAAUUAUCUCUCCUUAAUAUACUUGUUAUAUUCCUGUACUCUCAUAAUAUCCAUGAAGAAGUGUAGGUCCAGAGGACGGGGCUUGCUCAGGGUCAUAGUCAGGGACCAAGCUGAACUAGAUUCUUGUACUGAGAACUAGCUCUCCAUUGUCUUUCUCAUUUUCCCACAGAGCAAAGGUAUCCCUCUCAUGUGAUGCUGCUCUGGGAUCAAUGGUGACAAUAUGGACAUGCCUGUCAAACAAAAGCCACUCAAGGUGACUGUCUUUUAACAACUGACUGAAAACAAAUGCCAAAGGUGUGCUUUUAGAUGUCCGAUGGGGAAGAGAGGUUUGAAUCAGAGUCACUGAAGGAUAGACUGGUGGGUUCAGAGGGAGAGGCAGGCAAGGGAGAAGAUUCAGCACUCCACAUAUGGGACAACCCUUACUGGCCUGUGCCUCAGUUUCCUCAGGUUGGAGUUAAAGAAAGUGCCACCUUUCAGCUCUGCCCACCUGUCACCCUAACGUGAAAGGCCUUGUAGAAUCCACAGUAGCCAUGUUUCUAGGGAACCCCACACCAGUACCAAAAUGCCCUCCUCUAGCACAGUGAUUGCUAUAUCUGCCUUCUCCCUUGGUCAGCCCAGCAUGGCUCCUCGUCCUCAUACUUUAGUAGGCUUGUCCUAGUCCAGAAGCCCGGCCCACCUCUUCUGCAUCCCACCACACGAUCUUUCCCUUGAGUUUGUGGAUUGUACCUCCUUUGCGCCAGCUCUGUCCCAGUCAGGGAGUCUCCUCACAGAAUUUUACCUGAGAGAAUAUACUUGUUCUUCCACCUCCUCCCUUUGAACUCACCACUAUCUAAAAUGGCCUCCUGUGUUCAUUUAUACCUUAGUGUGUGAUGCUGGUUUCUCUCAAGGAAGGAAGGAAGGUUCUCAACUGCUCUAUUUACUGCUUAUUUGCCUGACACAAAGACCUGGCAAGAAACAGGUGCUUAGUCAGUUUCAAUUAGAAUAAGGGGUAUUGAUUUCUGUGAAGAGACAGCCUGCUUGUUCCUUCCAGGCCCAUGGCAGACAGAGCAUGCCGGAAGCAUUGUUGCAGAUGCUUAAAUGGUCCCUCACAGCACAUUGUAUGCACUUGUUCCUUGCUAAUGUGAAGGUAUGGUGGGGGUGGUGGUGGAGGGGCUGUCCUUGUGUUCUGUGAGUUCAAGGCUUCUAUUGGGCUCCCCAGGUCCCUCAUGGGGAUCAGAAUUCAGAUUGUUCUCCUAGAACCCAAGAGCUUCUUUACCAUGCCACCAAGGCUUUCUUCCAAUGGAGGAGGGACUAGCGGUAGGAAUUUUAAAGUACAUUGGAAUCAAUGAUGUCUUCUUCUUCUCCACAUGCAUCACUAGAGAGAAAGAUUGUGCAGAAAUGAUAAAGCCAAGCAGAAAACAUAACCCGUGCAAGUCUUGAACUCUGGGUUCUAGUCCGAGACUGGGAGACCCCAACCAACCCUGAGCAGGGCCUUCCCACCUUUCCCAAUGGUGAUCUCUCUAGUAUAUGGACUGACCCUGAAAUGCUCCAUCCCUGUUUUGACUCUGAGGCUCAGGCUCCAUAUGCUCCCUGUAGAAGUCCACAGGCGUGGGUCUGUUAGGGGUGAAUCUGAAAAUUAUAGCCAAACAAGUCUUUUGCCAAGGAAACCUCACACUCAGGGAAAAAGCAGAACAGCCAGCCAGUACUCUUUAAUUGAUGUUUCAAUUCAGACUCAAUCUGCCGUGCACAAGCUUGUACCAAAUGAGGGGAUUUUCGUACCCAUUAGAGAUUCAAGACUUUCCACACACUGCAAAAAUGUCAAAAUUAUAGCAGUGCCAACCCUCUCCUGUCUCAUCAUACCUGCUCCUGUAUAUUAGCUCCAAACCUGCGUGGUCAGCAGACUCUGCUACUGGCCAGAGCGCUCAGAUCUUCACACAUCCCCCAGGGCCACAGGACCACAGUUCUGUAGAGAUCGGCCACUCCCUCUCCUGUGAAUGUUCCAGAGCUGCAGGCCCUCUUUCCUUCAGAUCCUGUGGGCCUUCACUAAAUUGUGUGACAGCUUCAAUGUAAAUAGGACACAUCUGCAUGGGUUAAAAAAAUAGCCACAUGCCACGAAGGGCAGCGGGCUGUGUUUAUUUAUCAUCCACAACUGGAAAUCAGGUUCUGGUCUGGGUCCAGGACAGCCGAUGGUUUGGGACAACCUCUAAGACAUUUUGAAACAAUUUCAGCUGACUAUUGACUACAAAAAUUAUUCUCCAUUUAUUUUGUUUUUAAGUAUUUUCCCCUACUACCUGGAUGAGAGAAGAGAGCCAGCAUUUGCAAAGGUGUUUGGUCAUCUUGGACCAGGAUCUGUCAACACACAUGUCUGAUAAGACCUUUGCUUUAUGCUGGCGAUAAUGCACCUCUUUGGCUUUCUACUCUUGCCUGGAGACACAUAGUGUCAGCUAAAAGGUCUUCUGAGACAUCCCUUCCUCCAGUCCUCUUUACCAUUCAAGCAAGUGGUUGUCAUUGCCUUGCAUCAAGAAAGGAGGAAUGCAGAUGCACAGCUCAGUCUUCAUUGUGGGUCCUGCACAACUGGAACAGGGGUGGGGAAGCUCCCUCUAAAGCUGUUGCCUGUCCAUGGGAUAUGUUCUUCUAGCUGGGCUGCCUUGUCCAGCCUCAGUGGGAGAGGAUGUGCCUAGCUCAGCAGAGACUUGAUGUGCCAGGGUGAGGAGACACCCAGAAGCAGCCUCUAUCUUCUCAGAGAAGAAGGGACUAUGGGAGGGGAUACUGGGAAAGGGGCAGAAAGUGGAAUGCAAAGAGAAUUAAAGAAAGAAAGGAAGGAAGGAAUGAUGGAAGGAAGAAAGAAAAGAAGGAAGGAAUGAAGGAAGGAAGGAAGGAAGGAAGGAAGGAAGGAAGGAAGGAAGGAAGAAAGGAAGAAAAGGAAAGAAAGAGAAAAAAGCUGGAGUAUGUGCCAUAAAGACAGUUAAGCAUGCUGGAAAAGGUCAUAUCCUGGAAAGUGUCAGAAUUGGAACCUGAUACCACCACAGCCUAUUCCUCACCAUUGAGAGUCAAAACAGACAGACAGACAAACAGACAUGUACAUAUAUACACAUAUGCAUGCAGACACAUACAUGCCUACAAAGAAGUCUUGCCAGUGGAUAAAGGAAUUCCUUUAGGAAAAUGACAUGAAAGUUAUAAAAGUGACAUCUUCAGUUUUCCUUAGACAUACUACUUUAUUUCUAAAUAUCAUUAUAUUAUAUACACAUAUACAUUACACAAAAAUGGUCAUUUUUAUAGUCCGUUUUUUUCACAUGCCUACAUAAUUUUUAAUUCUAUUGAAUUGAACAGGUUGAUGGUAAAAGGUACUAGCAAUCCCACUGAUGGUGUGAGCUGUGGCCCUUUUACAUUGUUGACAGUAGGUUGGCUUUUGGGGGAACAGCCUUAGAAGACACCUGAAAAAUGUUACGGGAUUGCUGGUAACCUAUCAAAACAGCACUUUAAGCAAUAGCCAAGACUGCAUUGAUGUGAAAAGACACCCAUAAUACAGGACUAUACAAGAGACACUUAUAACUAAUUUUUGUAGCACAGUUUAAAUCUUAUAAAAACCAAGUGUGUGUAUGUAUGCAUGGAUGUACACACUCAUUUGUGUGAGUCUUGAGAAUGUGCACAGUCACAUGGUAGGAGAGGGGCUUAGGGGUGUUGAGAGGAAUUUCCAUCUGUAUGCGCCCUCAUCUCUAGCCUAUCCAACUUUUUCUAAGCUCAUCACUUAAAAGGCAAUAAAGAGGGAUGUUUGAAGUAUUGAUGGCCAACUGACACAGGCAAAUCCAGUCGACUGUGGCGAGUGUUGUGCGGUGAUUUUGUUACCCAGGCUACAACUCCUCUCUUGGAUGCCCUGCCUGUUGAUUUACCUCUGUCCCCCAGGGUACACAUGAUCUUAGGGCUGUCUACCUUUCUUCCUGGCUUUGAGCCAUUCUCACUCCUGGUUACAUAUCCCAAUGGUCUUACCUUCUGCAUGCAGGAAAAUCAACACAGUUGAGAAAGUCUUAUACCCCAGAGAAAGCUGCUGAACUGAGUCCAGUGGCUAAGGAAGGCAUACUCCACUCCUGAUAUUCAGAAGGUGGCCAAGGAACUCACAGGUCUCAGGGCCCCAGCUAAGCAAUGCCCAAGGCUUCACUUCCAGUUUGAGUCAGGCCAUGCAGCUGGGCCACCCACACUCAGCAUGUACAAUCUCAGUGUUUUAGAAGACAGAUGUCCUGGCUCGUCAGUGGGACACAGAUCGGGUGCUGGGUAGUAGCACCUGCCAAUCAAAUUGCUUUUCUGGUUGAUCCCACUUUCCUGAAGUUUUUAGAGCAUAGUUUCCAAUCUGACUUUGGUGUUUUAGGCUGAAGUUUCAAGGACGCAUCUGGACAAAAUAUGCUUUCCAUAUAGGCCAACAAUUUAUUUAUUUAUUGCUCAUGACAUUGUACUUGGCAGCUAAGAAGACAUAAAACAAUUUGAACCACUCUGAAGAAAACGGGUGCAGGGUUGUCCCCAGAGACCCUGAUGGAAGAUACUGAAGGCCAGUGCAGCACUGCAGAGCUUUCUGUGAUUGACAGGCAGAGUUUUGAGAGGCAAACCCAGCAAUGCCAUUCCUGCCAGGAGCUCCCAUAUCUUUCUGCUCCAGCUUCUGCUUUGGCACAGAAAAAAAGACCAGAGACAUAUGUCGGAAGCCACAUGUGAUGGUUCAGAUUGAAGCUAGUGUGAGGACCUUUGUCACCUGCCUCUAAUGCCACGGUGCAAGGACAUUUUGAAAACACAUAGUGCACUGCUAAAUUUGCUCCCUUCAGUCUUUCUCCUGACACCGAAGGUACUCGUCUCCUUGUCUAUCCUCUGCUCCAAGAACAGAGCUCAGCCAGGGAACUGACAGGAGGAGGAGAAAAUGUGCAUCCAGGCUCCCCAGUCUUCUGAUGGAUGAUGCUCAGGCCACUGCACAAGUCCUCUAGAACUUCCCACCAGGCUCAUCAGCAGGUAUCAGCCAUGUACCUAUUAGGAUUUAACAACUUCCCUUCAUUGCUUGCCUUUACCUUCCUGCCCUGUUCCACACUGCCCUCGUGGUGCUUCCUGGGUCACACUUUGCCACUGCCAACUGCUUGUGUUGCAUCCUUGUUACAGGAUCUGUUUAUGUGGUCACCAUUCAGACACUUCCUACCACAGUCCUGGCUAGCAUUUAAGACAGAGGCUGUCAAUUAAAGGUCUAUGAUUGUUCCUGGCACAUAGGCGCAUGGGCCUGAACAGUGUUUAAAAGAAUCCAAAUCAGUGUUCUUUUUUUUUUUUUUUUUAAAUAUAAGAUUUAACAGAUAAAUGUGAAUUCUUGGCUUUUAUUGAAAAGAAAAAUCCAGUUAGUUACCCUGGGCCUGCGUCUCUUUAUGGGACACGGGGUAGGAGCUGGAUGGCAAGGCUUCUUUAUCUAGUCCUUUCUUUUCUCUUCUCUUCUUUUUUCUUCUUCCCCUCUCUCUCUCUCUCUCUCUCUCUCUCUCUCUCUCUUUCUUUUCUUUCUUUUUUUUUUUUUUGAAACAGGGUUUCUCUGUGUAGCCCUGUCUGUCCUGGAACUCACUCUGUAGACCAGAACUCAGAAAUUCACCUGCCUCUGCCUCUCAAGUGCUGGGAUUAAAGGCGUGCGCCACCACUGCCCAGCCUUUAUCUAGUUUUUAGAGGUGAACCUGCAAGACUAUGCUUUCCUGACGGCCCAAGGCACUGCAUGGGACAAUAAGGUCUAGAUUGUACACAGGAAAACAUGUGGGCAGAGUGAUGGCUUGGCCAGGGGUACCAGGAUGUCUGUCAGUCAUGGGAAACCUACAGGAAAACCUGCUCUCUGCUGGCAAGUGUGUCUCUGUCAGAUGAUUGGCCAAGCUCUUCCCUUUGGGGUUUGGUGCUAGCAGACAAGGGGGCUUUUGCUGUUAUGCUUAUGUUUUACAAACAAAUACAAAUUAAAAAAACCAACCUCUGGAAAACAUGUUCAAAGCACACGUAAAGAUGAAUCUGGAACUCUAUUUCAAGCUCCUUAUAACUCCACUGUACAGGCUGUUCUUUCUGUAUGUAAAGUGGCACCUGAGAGUUCAGGAGAGACAAGGAUGUCAACAGAAACCAAGACAUCAUCAUCCACGCUAACCCUGAGUCUGAGAGGUUCUACAGCUAGACUGGUCAAAGCAAAGGGGAAGUCCAUCUCCAAAGAAGCAGCCUUCGACGUGGUUAGAUUCAUCUAGUCAACACUGCAAACCAGGGACCCCUGAGAUUGUUUUACUGCAACAGAUAUAUGGGCCCAAGUCCUUGCCAGCUUCAAGCCAACCCAGCCUCUCCUUUUGGGAAUCUGCAGGGAACUUGGUUAGACUGUGGAAGCUAGUUUCAUUUACAAUGGCUUGGGGCCAUGCAGAAGCUGGAAUGAGUGUACAUGGCAAGCACAGCCCUCUCCCUGCAGAAGCACUGGCUUAGAUAUAUGAGCUACAGCUUAAAAAUGGCUUAUGAGUACAAGUGGGACAGACGGUAAUGAAAAGGAGUGUGGCGUGGUCCAAAAGUCUGGAGUGCUGGACAAAUAACUCACUCGAGAGGGCAUCAGACUAAGGGAUUCAUUGAGCUAAUUCAUGGUGGAAUGACAGCUUUCAUGGGAGGUAACUACUGCAUUCUGUGGCCCUGUCCUCCAUUCUUCACCUGUCGGGACGGUUUGGUUGUUGGGAAAUGCCAUGCAAUCAUGGUAAGGUGCAUGCUAUGUAAAGUGCUAGGAAACAUCGAUGUAGGGGAAACACCCCUCCAAUGGAAUCAUAUUUAUCAUCAUUAUCAGUAUGGCUAUACCAUGCUACAUUUUUCCUCUAUAGUUCUGAGGUGUAACUUUCCCCAUGCAUGCCAGCAAACAAACGGACUUGAACUAGGACUUAAUUAUGGAUGCAGUUUCUAUUCUUCCAGACCCACUUCCAGAUCUACACUGGGCUCUGGUAAAUGGUGCCUAAUUGGCCUCAGUGGGCAAAUCAUUGAGAAGUAGGUUGAAUUGGGCUCUGAAAGAAUUCAGGGUCUUAGAUGACAUCUCUCAAAAUCUGUGUCUGUCUCUAAUUACCCUUGUUGACUUCCCUCUUCUUUUAUGUUUAUCCUCAGGUAGAUUCCUAUUCCUGCUGUAGACCUAUAGCCUACAACACUCCAUGCUUUCUCAUCUUGCCUUCCAAUCCCAAAGACUACUGCAGAAUUGAGACUUAGUGGUCAAGCACUGUCAUGAGUAUAUCAUUGAUGUAAUCAUGAAAGACCUAAUAUCAUUCUGGGAGGAAGAAAACCUAGAGAAAGUAGACUACAAUUGAGCCAGCACCACAGAACUGGAUGCAGGAUAAAUUCUAGAACUGCAGAGCCCAAACAGAAUCUCUUGAAGAAAACCCAGCAGCUAGCAUCAGAAGAGGGAAAGAAAACUAACAGGCAGGGGACAGCUGUAUAGCACUAUUACACACCAAAUGCAUUUUGUGCACAGGCUCAUGAAGUGCUCCACCCCCCACACCGUGUCACAAUAUUGGGAACUAUCUAAGUACCUGAGAAAGCUUAGCUAUGGGUUAUAGCGGCCACAGGUGUGCAACCAAGCGAGGCCCACCAAGCUUGCUGACCUGCUGACUCCAGCUGACUGCGAACUCUGCUGUGACACAUCAAGCCAAGAAUCAGAACACCUGUCGAGACAUCGCCAUGCCUCUGGUCACAUAAGACAGACUACAACUGGUCUGACCCUACUAGAGGCCCACAGAACACUUUGCACCUGCCUCCCUCUGAGGGUGAGCAACCUUCACCAAAGAAAAUAAGGGCAUGGAAAGCCUCCGCCAUUUGAAACUGUUCAUCCCCCGUUUCCGUGAGGAUUUCUGCUUUGUUUCCUUGAAAGCUUUUGUUCUUCUGUCAUCACACUGAAACCACCUUAGAGGAGUAACCUGCUCUGAUCUGGAAGAAGUCAACUACAGUGCUGCGCCUUGCCCUAGAAGGAAGACCUGUUUGCUCGAUGAUGCCGCGGACUCUUUCCUCCUACCUCAUAACAUCCAAAGCUCACUGGUCCUUCUUCGCAGGUAUCUCUGCUGUCCUGCUGUCUUCUCUGUACUAAUACAACAUACCCUUUAUACAUCAUGGUCUCAGUGGUCUUUGCAUCUGCUAGUUCUCCAGCAUCAACCCUGAUUCUCUCCACCAGAGGAAUUGCUCUGAAGUACCAACUCUAGAUUCACGCAACUGCUCAGUGUCUUGUUGCAUACUGCCUUACAUGGAAACUCAUUCUCUUCUAAAUAGUAGAACACUUUUCUGCUGUUCAUCCUCAAAGGAACUGGGAACAUAACAUCUUUAGAAUUCUUCCUGCUACCCUUGACUGAAUGCGUUUAAAAAUUGAAUCAAAAUUCAUGUCAACACAACACACACAUUAUGAGCCUGGCUUUUGUUAUUGCUGGAGUUGACAGGAGUUUAGCUUGGAGCUUUUUGUAAGUUGUUUGUUUUCUUUGGCCUUGGCCAUUCUGUCUCUUUUGCAUAGAUAUGUUGUUCAUGGACAUUUUUAUGCUUCCAUUAUACACACACACACACACACACACACACACACACACUAUACAGAUCAUGAUGACAUUCCUCUCUACCUUCUAUGAACCUGAACAACACUUAUUUUCCUUUUACCUUCAGCUGCGGGGGGGGGGGGGGGGCUCAACUCUGGCAUCCAGAUGCCCCCCAGCACUGAUCUGCAAGUGUUAGCUUUUCUAGCUGUCCUUUAAUAGCUCAUUUUAUUCAUCACUGUAUAUACUCACCUUCCAGGGCAAACUGUGGUAUAGAUAGUACAAAAGCCCAGUUCCUAUAUUUAAAUACAUUUAAAUGCAUGAAUGACUGAGAACAAGGAGGAGCAUGGCAUGUGCUCACACCUUCCCUGGAUGAAUGUAAGAUGAUAUUCUUAUAAGGACAACUGAGGUUACACCAGCACAGCAAUAUCCUACCCCGUGAGAUAAAAUGAUAGUAAUUUUGGGUAAUUAUUUCAAUUGACAUUCCUUUUGGCUCCUGAUGCUAUGUCCAAGGUAUAAACAUGUCUCUAUUUCAGCUUUUACCCCUGGAAUUAAGUGAUUGGUGUGAGGAAGUCAUAAUCUUUGACACAGUCUAGAGCCCAAGGAAUGGGGAAGAAACCUGAAUGUGUACUAUCUACAACUGGAAGAUCUGGGGAGGGAAGUGGGAAUUCUAGGUUUCUUUGACCAUCUCACUUAGAAAUCUUUUCCCUCCUUGUUCACAAUAUGAUGGUAUAAUAUUCCAAGGGCAUUAAAACAGGGCCAAAGGUUUUACAUGACGAAAGGCAUUCUUGAUGGCGAGUGUUUGCAAUAGUUUAAUAUGUUUACUGGGGUGGUUACUGUAUUCACCUUUGAAGCCUAAGUGUGAUGUCCUACAGAUGCAAGCCUGAGUCACAGUCCUGUCACUUAUCUUAGGGACCUAACCUCUAUGAACCUCACAACCCUUACUAGUUAAACAUAAUAAUAAUAAUAUAAUAAAUAAUAACAAAAUAAUAAUUUAAAAGCACCAGCUCUUCUAGGGCUACUAUUAAUAAUAAGGUACAGAAAGCACCCACUCUAGCCCCUACCAUGCUGGCCACACUUAGACAUAUUGCUUUUCUUUAGGAGCUAGAGAGAACGAAAAGGUUCCAGAUCAUCUCACCACCUAUCUCGGCUCUACUGAACACUAAGAUGCUAAGCCAACCAUGUGCAUUACUUUGCUGUUGCUGUCAUAGAAAUGACCACAGAGUGAGGAUCUUAACACGGCCACCCCACCAUUUAUCAUCCACUCCCGAGUUCUGUAGGACAGAAAUAUGGCAGAGUGUGGCUCAGCUAUUUGUUUGUUCUGGGUCUCACAAGGCCAAAGGCAAGGUGUCAGCCAGACUGUCAUGUUUUCUGGAACUCAGAGAAUGAUUCUACUUUCCAGACCUUUCAGGUCAUUGGGAACAGUCUGCUCCACGUGGUCACAGGACUUUUGGGAAUUGGUGGUUGGCCUAGAGUCCUCAACUUCUAGAGGCCACCCACAGCCUCUGGUUAGGGCCCCUUUCUCGAGGGGCUUUUUCUUCCUCGCUUGGAAUUCUCUGACCUCUUUUUCUUCUGUACCUCUCUUCUUUGCCCUUCCACAGUACCCCUUUCUGCUUUCCUGUUCCAUGUUAUUUUCUCCUUCAGUGCUAUGGAUGAAAUCCAGGCUUUAGUAAUUGUAGAGCAUGUGUUCUCCCACUGAGCAUAUACCCUCAGCUUCAACUGCCUCCUCUACUUUAUAGUGUUAAUGACUACUUAAAUGAUUCUGAAUACUUGGUUUGAAAAACAGUCUAGUUCCUUAAUUCUUUAAUGGCAUUAAAAUGAGAUUUUCAUUCUAUUUGCAAAGUCCCUGCACACCAUGCAUGGCUGAGUUUUGACCAAAUAACCAAAAGGUAGAGGCUGUUGGAGAGAAUCUUUACAUCCUGUUGAAUACUCCCUAAAUACUGCAUUUAAGAUUUGAAUCAAAAUCCAUGCCAGCAUAGAACACAAUAUUUGCUUGUUAAUUUUUUGGUCAUUUCUGGAUCUGGCUUAGCUUGGACCUUUGUUUGUUUGUUUUUUUGUUUGUUUGUUUUACCCCCAAAAUAAUGAGCCUUUCUCCUUCCCUUGGGCGACUGAAGCUCAGUUCAAUUUAGAGUUUUAAAAAGCAUUUAUCAGAGAAAUCCUCUUUAUUUUCUCUUUUCUAAUUUUUCUUCAAGGAAGUCUAUAGCACUUUAAGGCAUUUAAGUGUUAUAAAUUUAAAGUUUUUAUGUAUGAAGUUUGACUAGUGUCACCCAGUGGGGUCUAAAUCUAAGGGGUGGGUAUGGAUCCUGGCUUGAUCCCAGCAGAACAGCAUGGGCUGAGAACCUCGAGAUGCCAAUCAGAAUGCUUCUUCUCACUGGCAAACAACCAUGCUCUCAUCAGUUGAUCAGAUCCAUCUCACAUGCAGCAUCAAAAUCCCGGGUCUCCGUUCCGAAGAAAUGCUUGCAAAUAUGCCUAAAAUGCACGUAAAAAAGUGCUUCCUCCAGUCAUAACUGUCACACCAAGAAUGACAAUGUAAAUGUCUAGUUACUGUGGACAGUGAAGUCUGCGUUGGCAGAGGGAUGUCCUUACAAUGCUAGAACCACUUUUUGUGCCCACUAGAAAACACUGAGGUGGGUCCAACUAACCACUCUGAAGUAGAAUGGUUACCCAGAGGAGCUGUGAGGAGAAAAAUACAAACUCCCAGGAACCUGCAUUAUACAAUGUGGUAAAUGCUUCAUACAUGUGUUGUAGAUGCACACAAAGGGCACAUGUACUGAUCAGCAGGGGCCUGUUACACUGCAGAAGAGAAACAUAAAAUCACUGGCAGACAGCCUUGGAGGUGAAUUCUGACCAGAAAGACAGAGACGGAAGCCCUUUAGAUUCGGCACACAGUAGACGAUCAAUACAUACUGAAAGAAUAAAGCAAAUGGUCUUUUCAAGAGGGGAAAGCAUGCCCCUCCCCCAACCCCACUGCCAAUUAAAACAAGUCUACCAAACUCACGACUCAACCCAGUAUAUACAAGAUUCAGCCCACUCUUUCUUUACUGUGGAUGGGCAGGAAGGAAAUGCUUUUCAUUAUAGAGUGCAGGCAAGGAAGAUUUGGAAUGCAGGCAACCUUGCUAUAUUUUAAAAUAGAACAAAACAAAGAGGGCUCUGAAAAGCCAGAUCCUACAAACCAGAUCUUAACCAUGUGCAGCCCCCUGGGAUCUGCCUCUGGUGCUGCGCAGGGCAGAAGAGCCCAGAGGAAAGAGGAGCUUAUUUUCUGCAAUGGCAACCCCUUUGGCAGAGGAAUUCAAGAGCAAGGAUAAGUUCAGGCUAAGCUCCCUUCCUGCAUCAACCUUCAGGCCAUCUACAAGUGGCUGUUCUGGUGGCCUGGUAUCCUCAAAGGAGCUGAAAUAUUUCUUCAUCUUCAAAGGCAAAGAGUCUUGGCUUUGCCUGUCAAACAUCAGUGUAAAUGAAGCCCCCUCCAGUCCCUGAAGAUCACAUGUCAAGGGGCCAGGCUUGUAUGAAGGCUGUGGUGGCCUCUUCGUUCUUAGAGGCAGGACCAGAACAGCAGGCAGACUAUGACAAAAUGUUGUUAGGAUUUAAGUGGUGUUUUUGAGUUCUUUAAUGAUUUUUCCUUUUGGCUAAGUAAAGAAAGCAGACAGAAAUACCCCCAGUGACUCCCAGGAUUUUAAGACGAAGAAAGCAAGGAACCUGUUUCUGAAGGAUAGAUGCUUGCCCCUGGCUGCUGCUGCUGCUUCGUUUCUGUUUGUAGCCGGUUACGGUAUGCAGUGUGGCUACUCUGCAAACCAUAAGCUGGGUUCUAAAUUGUACCAGAUGCUCAUCUCCUAGCUUGGCCUCACUGCUUUCAUCAGCCUUUCAUAGUUUUUCCUGAUAUACACCCUUGCCAUUAAGAGUGUGGUCCUCACAUCAGCAUGAAUGUCACCUGGGAGCAAGAUGCUAGAGAAGCAAAGGACACACUGAUCUAACUGGGCCUUUGGCUUUUGACUUUGCCACCUCUUUCUCCUUCUCUCUAACUCUGGCAAGUCUACCUGGGCAAACAGCAGAAAUGCAGACCAUUAGGCUGCACCUGGGCCCCAGAGGAAUCAGAAUCUACAUCUAACAAGAUUACCUGUGGAUGCCAAAUCUAUUGGAGGCUACUUGAUUCCUACAGUGUUAACCUUUUAGGCUCUGCUGCUAAAUUCUGAUCUCACUUGGCACCAAAGGCCAAUGAAGGGAGUCAUCUGUCAACAUGUUAAGUUGGUGUGCUUGCUCCUCCACCAGAACUGUAUAAUAUAUUCUAUAUGUAAACCUGCAUUUUUUUUCAACCUGAGCACACAGGGUUCCCCUCCCCCCUCCAACUCCCAUGAGUCAGAACUGGUCCUGAGCUGAGAAUCACCAUCACCACCAAGGAGCCGCCAGGCUGUGUUAAUUGCUUUCUGGGUGGUGGGGAAGGGGGCAGGGAUAGCAUCUUGCCUUUGAUCAGGAGGGAGAAGUAAUGGUUUUACUUACAUCCUGCUUUGUCUCUGCACAGGCCUAGAGGUCGGGAUACAUUUCAAGCUCCCUCUUUCUUCCUGGUAUUCUGUUACUGCAUACAUACCUCCACCCUGGGCUUGGGGGUGUGGAAAGCAAAUGUGCUUUGUGGUACACCCACAUGACAAGCUUCAAAAUGGAAACAAUAUUUAAGUUAAACCUGGAAGAUCAAGUUUGCUCAAAGCUCACAACACAGGGAUCUUUUGAAAACGUUAGCAGCAGGUCCCUGUUUGAUGGAGAGAGGCAAUUCUUGAUGGAGAAAUGAGGCCCCAUGAGCAGAUGCCAAAUUCCCACUCAGCUGGCUCCACCCCACUUUAUUCUGUAUAAACACUGGAGAUAAUAACAAUACACCUAGGCAGAGCCUGCAGAAUUUCAGAGUGACUUUACUUUUUAGGUACAUAAGGAGCGUUUCUGGAGCCGGGUAAAGAUGUGGCGCAUAGGCCCAGGAAGGGUUCCAUGAGAAGAUGAAGGUAGAGCCAAGGAUGAGAGGCUACAAGCUAAAGAACAACAGAGGAGAUUGCCCUCAAGCCACCAGAAAUCUAGGGAACACAGGACAGAGAGACAUCCUCUCAGCACUAGGAGACACCACUCUGUCCACAUCUUGAUCAAAGUUUUUGGUACUUUGCUGUGGUAGCCAUGGCAAGGAAAGAUGCUAAAGUGAAGCACCCUCCUGGUGCAAAUGCUAACAAGGUUUUCUGUUGCUCAGCACUGGGCAGUGAGCUCAUGAUUAUGUCAUGGCCCACAAAGAUUACCUCUGGGAGAUAGGGCCUGGGCAUGAGGACCCAGAGGCUAGAGUCUCUUACAGGCUGAGGUGCUUUGUCAGGAUCCCACAGAGAAUACAUAGCCAGACUGGGUUUACACAUGGGCAGUCUAAGCCUAGACCCCAUUUUCAGGCCCAGUGGGCAAGACACUUGAUAGAAGUCUAUAGGAUAUAUCAGAUAAUGAUUUUAGGGACUAUUAUCUCUAUUGUAAGGUAGAAACUAACAUUCUAUCAUUUAUAUUUUAUAGGAGAAGAAACAGAGGCCACUUAAAUUCAAUACAUGGCCUAGGCUCUGAGAACAGCUAGUGUUGGAGUGGGAUUUAAACCAGACCUGUGAAGGCUCUGGAUGCCCCAGUCAUUGCUUGCAGCAGGGGCUAGGAUCUGCUAUGCUCUUGUGUCAGGUGUCUCCCUCUUUAGAACAUCACUCCACUCUCUGCACCUCCACCCAACAAUACACCCUGAUUAGCAUUCCAUUCACCAUGCCCUAGUAUGUACACUAUACCCCAGUGUAUUCAGAAAGCUUCCCUCCCUUCCUCGGCUCUACACGGAAGUUACCCUUCUGCUGAACAGCGAAGCGGCUGGCUUCCUGGAUAUAAAGUGUAUGAAGUGGCUUCAGCUAGUAGACCAAAGUUCAACGGUCUAAGUGAAUUCCAAGAAUUCUUCUAGGACAUGCAUGUACAUUGCUUCUAUAAGUAGGUAUGGUAUUUUCAAUUGGGGGUGACUUUGCCCACAAGGGAACAUUCAGCAGUCUUUGGAAUCAGUUUUCAUUGUUGCAUGAGGGUGGGGGAGGGAGGAAGGAAUGCUACUAGGAUCCAGUAUCCAGAGACUCAUGGAUGCUCUUAAGGAUCCCCCAAUAUACCUUAUGCAAGACCAAGAAGUAUCUGGUCCUGAUUGUUAAUAGCACAAAGAUCAUAAACCUGGAAUACUGCAUUCCAUUAUAGAAACCAGCUCCACUGUUCGCUCUCUGCAGCUUCCUGGGGACAACUUUCAUGAACUCCCUAGGGUCCAGUUAUCUUGAAAUUAGAACUGCUAAGAAGGUCUGCCUCGUGAGUUUGUUAGAGGUAAUAAGUUGGUACAUAACAAAUGUAAACUAUGUGGCAGGGUAAUGGCUCAGGGAAGUUGCCCUUAUUAUUUCUGAAGCUGGACGUUAAGCAUCAGACUACGGGGCUUCAAGAGCUGUUGUGUGGUAUAAUUUGGUCAUUUUAGCCAGGGCAAAGAAUCUCAGAAUUAAGAAUGGCUGACCUAGGCACUUACUGUGUUUGUACAUACAGAGCAGGGUUCAGCAUAGAGGAAACUCUUGUUUUAACUGAAAGCAAGCAUAACAAAUAAUUUACACUACCCUCUCUAAAGUCCUUCAAAGACUCCAGCAGCCACCUUUGGAACCUUCUCAAAGGUUCCCACUUCUCAGUGCAGUUAGCAUGUUGCCUUCACAGCCCUAGCGAUUGUACAUGGUUUAAAGGAUCCCGUUCACAAAACAACCUCGUUAAAGCAAUACUAGAUCCCCUACCUGUUUUGUUUUUGUAGUUUUUAAUUAAGCAAAAUUAGUUCUAAAAUAUCUGGGCUGGAGAUCAAAAAGUCUUCUUCCUGUGCUACUGUUUGCCCCACUACACUGUUAACUAUCAUCUUACUUUAUACCCCCUGCCCCAGCCCUUCCACAAUUAGAGUUUUAAUAAGGUGACAUAGGCUUUUGUUGGUUAGAUGGAGUGCUUAGCACAAUGCUUAAUAUACAUUAUACUAUACUAUGUGUAUUACAUGAGAUAUAUGGUGCACAAUUACUUAUAUGUAUAUAUCUAUCUCAUUAUUUGAUUUUCCAGCUGACUCAUUGUGAGUCAGCUGAUGCACAAACUUUUAGAAAUUAACCUAUGUGGGGACAGACAUUGCACGAGGCUUAGGAGCUGUGUCUUCAGAACACUUCGUCUAUGAUGGCUCCUAGCAGUCACACAGGAAUGAAGAUGUGGCAGAAGGUAGGGUGGUAAAUGACAUAACUAAGUUCUAGACAGGCUUCUCUACCUCCUUAGAAGCUCUAUGCAACCUCUCUUCUUCAACUCAGGGUAAGACAAGACUUAUAUGCUGUGACAGAAGACAAGCAAGUACAGCCUUGUAUGGACAAAGAGAGCCUUUGGCGUAGGCUACCUUACACCCAGGACAAGUAGGUCUCAUCGCUGUGACUCUGGAUCCAUGGCUAUGCAGCUCAUGGGAUGCCAGUGGGGUCUGUUGGUUCCUACUAUCCCACACUCUUAACACUACUGCCGUUUCCUGUCCUCUUCUUACUUCCUCUGUACCUUACCCUUUCCUCAUCCAGUCCUGGUGUUCAGGCCACACCGGCGAUGCAUCUCUCUGUCAACUGUGGAACUCUUCAAGCUGAUAUCUAAAAACCUACUUGAUGCUAGUUUAUAUAUUAGGAAGUCACCUGACACUAAACAGGAUGUUUUUGAAUUCUCAUGAUCAUAUCCUUACUUUGAAGUAAUUAAGAGUAUCGAUUUUACUCCUCAAGUUAGUGCAUGCUGCUAAUUCCAGCACCUGAGAAAUGGGGACUGAAGGAUAAGAAGUUCAAGUUUAGCUUUGGGGCUAUAUAGGUACAAGGGUAUCUUGGGCUACAUGAGACCUUGUCACAAAGAACAAAAGAGAAAGAAAGAAAAAAGAAAGAACAAAUAAACAAAAGAAAGAAGAAAAACAAGAAUAUUAGUUAUUUGGGUAACAUAGUCAAAAGAAGGGACUUUGUCUAGUUUCUGUUGAAUUGCACAUAGUAGGUACUCGAAAAAUAUUGGUGGAGCUCAUUAUUAAACAUGCAGGCAUUAGUUAAGCCUCAUCUAUUGUGGUAUGUGACUCUUUCCCCUCCCAGUGUCCUCUUUCAUUUCUUUUCAAAUAAUCUGAAUAAUUUGUAGGCAGGGGAACAGGGGCUUAGCCUUUAAUCUCAUCAACAAAGGACCUUCCAACGAGGAGACAUUCUUUUGGCUGUGGUUGUGGGCAUUUCAGAUAUAAUUACAUUUUUCACCCUAAAAUUUCCCAAUGAGAUUAAGACUUAAGCACGACGCCUCCAUAACCCUCUCUCAGAAGUCUGCACUCCGAGCCCUACCCACUUUCACACAACUUCUGAAGGAUACAGCUGCUAGCAGCCAUGCGACACGGAGCACAAAGGUCUGUCAUUUGAUGAUGCCCUGCUUGCACAAUUCCUUGAAACCUCUUGAGAAUGCGUCACCACCAGCAAGUGUGCACAUGCUUUUUUUUUUUUUUUUUUUUUUUUUUUUUUUUUUUUUUCGAAGGAAAUACAAUCCAGCCUUUCUCAACAAGCUGUUUCCAAUAUUUCCUGUAUCUAUUCAGGGUCAGGGGAGAUAACAAGAGCAGUGUCUGGGGAAAAGGCAGCUUUAGAAUUCUUUUAUGUAAUCUUGCUGGGUUUAGGGUAUGCGUUAGAAUUUCUCCUAACUUUAAAACAUGGUGAUCUUUCUCAAGUACCUGGAAGUUCCAAUCCUCUUCACUAACCUAAUUAUAACAGGCCACUGAUGGUGCUAGUCUACUGUGAAUGCCCAGGCACUGAAUCUGGAACCUGUGAGUAUAUAAUUUUUAUUGCCUAGACUGCUUCCUCAUCCUUGUGAGAAUUAGCUAUGACCCAUUUUUUUAACACGGAGAUAUAUAGGAAGAUGGUUUCCAUUUGUCACUUUGGCAAGACAUGUCACUGUGGAGCAGGGAUAACAGGUAGAUGAGUGCUCAGUUUCAACACAGCAUAGGAGAUAGGCAGUAAGAUCCUAAGAUCCUUUUACUGGUGCUUCCAGACAUCCUGGCACUGCCCUCCUAUGCACUAGAGUGUCAGAAAACAACACACAGUUAUUUCAUUGGAGCCUCAUAAGAACUUCAGAUCGAAGGAGAGGGAAAGACCAGUUUCUCAUUUCUAGAUCAAAAUGCUGAAACUCAAGGUAUUAAAUAAUGAGCCAUGAAGGGCAAGCUCUAGAAUACACAGAUACCACUUUCAAUCCCCCAAAACUUCUACAGGCAGAAUGACUGUUCUAUUCAUGGAAAAGGAUGAGCAGGAAGAGGCAAAGGUGUUGGAAGAAGUCAUGAGAAUAGGGAAAUGAAGUGGUUAGUGGGAAAGGGUCUAGCGAAGGAGAGGAAGGAGAUAGGAACCUUGGUUUACUUCAUGGUCUCAGCACAAAAGGCCUGUCUUCAGUUGCCCAUGGGAAAGGGGGUUGGUGGCAAGCCAAAAGCAGUGAUCUGGAAAGGUCAUGUGAGGGAUACAACUGAAGCCAAUGCAGUAAGUAAGAUACCCACUGAGCAGCUUUGGAGAAAGACAUGCCUGGUUGUGAACCCAGCAUCCCCAGUCCUCAGAUUCUAGACUCUGGUGAUGAGCAAAGAGUUCCCUCUCUCUGUUCCCAUGUGGUAGCUGCCAGGUGAGGAGGCGAAAGCCCUUGGAAUGGUUACAGAUAGCAGGGUUCAAGCCAGUUAUGCUUAGCAAACAAUGGGGGAGGAAAAUCAAAAUAACGUUCUGUGACUCAUGAAAUUUGUAUGAAAUUCUUGUGUCACUAUCUACCAAUUCACUUUACGUUAGAAGUUCACCAUCUUCUUUCCCUAUCCAUCUGGCUGCUGGCUGCAUAGAUACUGCAAUGAUAGAACUGAGUAGAAGCAUCUGAGCCCUCAAUUCACCGUGUCAUGCUUUGCUGCUCUUCCCAACCCCACUGUUAAGGUAGCAAGGCUGCCUUGAUAGCCUUUUAAGCUAAGCAUCUGUCACCUAUAGAUAAAACACCACUUUCCCACACAUUCCAUGCCCUCGAAUUCAAUACAAGACCUAGGAAGACAAGAUCAGUUGAGUUAUAAGCAAUGUCCUUCCUGUUUUUCAGAGUUCUGCUUUGAGGGCACUGGCCAUCCUUACUGGGCUUAUAAAAUUCUCCCCAGCCGUAAGACUUGUGUUAGCAGGGGCAAAUGAUGCUCCUGGACUCUGGUGCUUCCUCCUUUGCCCUUUUUUGACUCUCCAUUCCAAGGAGGGAAAGAUAAUUCUCUACUGUGCCUGUUGUACUGAGGCCCGGGAGCCUGAAGAGCCCUGGCGAUUGGCAAUGGGAAUGAUACAGCCACGCCCCUCCCUUCUCAGAAGAAAGCAGGCCGCUCUCUAGUUUCCCAGCACGUUGCCCAUCCUCAGACAUACAAGGCUGAGAAGGAUUUCUUAUGACAUGUUUUCAUCAUGUUCCCAAGUUUGGGCCUGGUGCCAAGGAACGAGAACACAGAGAAUAAAUAAAACCGUAAAACCAACCAAAACCAACAGCCACCAGAGCCAGGACUAGAAGCAUCAGUUUACAGACCAGUUCUAUGAGGCAAAGGAGACCUGCUUUAUAAUGGCAGCUGUCAGAAAUCAGAGUGUAGACAAGGGAGGAGCUAGGCAAUCAUAUGAUCUAUUAAUUAUACUACAAGCUGAUUCAAGGUCUCCAUAGUGUGUCUCACACCCAGCAGGGGCAAGGACCCUUCAGAGCAUUGCCAGGAAUAGAUCAGCGAGCGGGGCAGUGGUAGUCCUCUCUGCUCCUUAGGCCUUGGUUCCCCACUCUGCCUGAUAGCUAAACAGAUGUCAGUGUUAUAAAGAGAUCCUAGUCCAUCCACGGGGAAAGAGAGGUGAGCGGUAAGGUUCUGUGACAACCAUCACAGGACUAGGAUUAUUGCCUUCAAAGGCCUAAGAGUGGAAACACAGCUUGAACUAAAUCUGUGCUGCACCGUGGUACAGCGCUUCCCAGACACGCUGCUCCUGGGACCCUGGAGAGUUGGCCUUCUGGCCCCAUCAAGGUAUGUUACAAGGCCUUAGCCCCACUUCAAAAUGAGAAGGUUAGAAUUUGGACUUUCUCUACAUGACAAUUUGAAAAUUUGUUUCUGAAUCCUUAUUUGAACUUUCUGAUUUUUCUUCUACAUACAAAAAAAGGCAUCGAGCAGUAAACACGAAGGGCUAGAGAGAACACAGGCUGUCCCGUGCAGGUGGCAACUGCAACUGUCACUCUGGAACUAUGGCCUGGGGCUUCCUCUUAUCAAAGGUCAUUGAGAUGUCUUUAGUCACAAAUGACAUUUCCUUUUUAUUCUGGAUUAAAUGGGUUUGCCAGGUUUAUUGAGAGACAUGCCCUUCUCUUUCAAAGAGCAUAACAAUUUUUCUUCUAGAUGUUUCUAAGAGAGCAGUCGCUGCCACUCUGUCAGAGGUCCUAAGAUUCUUCUUGGGGACAGGCGGAAUCUGAAGUUGCCUAUACUGUGACCACCACCAAACACAUUCACAGGGAGGACCUGAUUUAUGAGCAUGCUCAGUGUGUGUCAACCAAACCAGAGCAGCCCUGGGAUGCAGGAACCUUCACGAAAGGUUGAAAGGAUUGGAAGAAUGCCUCCUUCAAACUCUUUUCAAUGAUUAAAAAAAAAAAACUUGUAAUGGCUUGAAGACCAGCUGUAAAGCAAAUGUGUCCUAGUGGUCACCGAUCAGGAUCUGCCUAGAAUGGGGCCCUGAAACCCAGACCUCUUAUCCUGUAAGGAUGAACCACUUGGCUUAAGGACUGGCUCAGCUGCUGUACUCCAUUGUUCUUCCUAUUAACACGAUUUACUGGAAAACAAAGCGAAAGGAAUACAGAUCCCUCUCGCAGCAGCAUCGUGCCAGGGCAGAAUGAAGUCACAGGAACGGGCAGGAGGGUACCUCGUGUGGGAACUACUGGCAAGGAGGCAGGGAAGCAGAGGGAAAACCACCUUUCCGGUUGGUGGAGCCAGUGGAGCACGGAGCCCUUCUUUCUUGCUGUGGGUGCUGUCUGGCUUCCGCAUUUGUUGAGAGCUUGCGGAAAUGCUUGGAAAGGGUUGAGGCUGAACGUAAAAGAAAACUAUGCUUCAGCCUGAGACAGUGCCCAUCAGUCAGAGGGCUGCAAGGUGACCUCUGAGCAUAUCUAGCAGCAAUGGCUAAGGCAAGGGACAAGAGCUGCCAUCUUCCUAAUCGGCAAGCCUCCCAGGAGGAAUCCAGAAUGCUGUCACUGAAAAUGCCACGCUGGCCUCAUAAUCUAUUGCUGAUGCUGUGGAUGAACUCAGAUCAAUAUACAGGACAGAAUGAAGUUCUACCCCCAUCUAGGGCCUCUGUUCUGUAAACUACUCAUCGCUGGGAACUGGGGAUCCUCUGAGAAGCAACACAUACAAUGUAUGAGGUCCUAAUUACAAGGCAAAAGUAAUGAAGCAGGGUAGUUACAAAUGAUCAAACCUAUUGCUCUGGUAUCGACCAAGACAAUAAGGGCACAGGGACCCUGACAUCUCUCAGCACUGGCUCUGGGACCUCCUCCUGCUCUAACCUAUGGCACACUUAUAGGCUGGACUUUCCAAUGUGUGCAGGCUUCCCCUCCUCCUUUUGGAAUUCAGGAUUUCAUAUUCCACCUACUCAUUUUAGCUUAAUUUCGCCAGAUGUGAGCGUCUGGAUUCCUCCAAGAUUUGCGCCCCCUCUCCACAUUCCUCCCCUUUUUUGGGCCAUUUGUAUGAUUUUUCUAACCUCACUCCAACACCUCCCAAAUUAGUGUCAUCCGUGGCUCCCCUCAUUUGCUCUUUACGCCCCUUUACAGAUCAUUAAUAAAGAGGUUAAGUAAGACCAGACCACCACACAAUGAAGCAAAUGGCAAGGGAGGGUGUGGGUGGGCAGCGAGCUCCUCAUGCGCCAUCCCUGGCAGGAGAAGGAUAUGCACAAUGCCACAAUACUCGGCCAGCUGCUUCCCAAGACUAGCCCAUGGUCAUUCAUCACUACGCUUUGUUUAUGAGUUCUUAGCCAGCUUCCAGGUUCUGAGAGUGUGAUCACAUCCAAGCCAAUAUGCAUAACCAUGCCAGGUACCAGAUAAUACUGAUUAGUUCCAGAAAAUCCGCAGCAGGACUGUCCUGUAUUCUCUAUCCUGCUGGAGGUUUUCUACCUCAUCUCUAAGCCCAGUACAUUGGACCACAGGGACAGCUGGCCUGAGAUAUCAUGGCCCUUUGCCCCCUUCCAACUCUCUGAGUCAUAACUGCUCAUUAAAUAUUUACUGGCUUUUCAUGUUACUCGUUAGAUUUCUCUCUUACUUGAAAGAAACCCCUGGUAAAAACCAUGGACAACCCCAAAAGUCUGCAAAAUUCAAGUAUCAAUGACAGAACAAAAUAAGAAAAACAAAAGGUAUUUGAAACCGGUGUGUUUUGUGGGAUAAACAUACCUGCUAGGAAACAUGGAUGUAGCUCAGGUUUAUCUGUGUUCACAAGAAUUGGUUUUCAGUUUUGAUUCUCCUUUUUUCUGCCUUUUGUUUCACUUCCCCAAGUCACUAGCCCCAAAGUGUCAAUCACUUUCCUUAGCUGACAGAUAGAGUUAUACUUACCUGUGGCAGGAGCAAAAUGCACAGUUACAGUCUACCUAGGACUGAGCCCCAGGCACGGUAAGACACCAUACCUAGCUCAGCUUAUCUGAUCCCUAGCACAGCCCUGCCAGCUGUGUACAACAUCCACCAAAAGAGGAAAUAGAGAGCUAGACCAUUAAGGCACCUGCACAGGUAACCCAGCUUAGCUCAGCAGUGCUGGGUCAAAGCCCAGACCUGCCUACAUUCAGAAGUCAUAAUGAUAACCAGAGGUGAGUGGCUCUUCCCUCGACCUCUGAAUGUGUAGAGAGGAUCACAGAUGCUCUUUUGAAGGAAUGUGUCCACAUCCACAUGGACUUCUCUGUUAACCACAGCAGUGGGUCUGUAGACUCUACAGGGUUUGUGACACAAAUAUAAAGGUUGUGAAUAGUCCUAAACCCUUCCAGGACAACAACUGCAGUUUUUUCUCUACCUGUCUCCAUUAUCGAAAUGAAGACACGUUUCCCCUGCAAUGAAACAUGGAAUUCAAAGACAGAGAAGAGGAUAUUGAAGUUCUACCUCUGAAUAUUAGCUUUACUAACUGCUCAUAUAGAUAAUAAAAAUAUAUAUACAGAUGGCUUCCAGAGGAAUAAUUUAAAAAGAGAUAGUAGCAACAGGGAGAGAAAUGAAGCUUAAAUUUCUCUGUUCAGAAAUUGAUUUUGUAACUGGAAGCAGAGACAUCAUCAUGAGUAUUCUGUAAUAUUUCAAAAUUGCUUCUGGGUAUUUCCCACUCUGGCCCUUGCAAAGAGAGCUGAAAUCUUCUUCUGCAGAACAAUAUUGAUAACUCUUAAGUUAUCGUACCCACGUGGGAAGCCCAGCACCAGUGACAGUCCCCAUGAGUCAUGCUUGAGGACAGACAGCUGGAAACCUGGUGGCUUUGUUCUCAGAUCAGCAGGGACCUGCUGGCCUCCUACAACUUCUGGGGCUUUGUUUUUCCUGCAGAAUACCCUCUCCAACUACAUCUGCUCAUCCCAUUAUUUAUUAUUAUUACUACCGUUAAUGUUUUGUAUGGUGCUGAAGAACAUAGGCCUUGUGUAUAGCAGUAUGCACAUUAUCACUGAGCUUUAAACCUAGUCCUUAUUUAUAUAUUUAUUUAUUUUGAAUAGAGGAAUCACUAAGUUGCCCAGUAUGACUUUGAACUCAUGAUCCUCCUGCUUCAGCAUCCCAAGUAGCUGGGAUUGCCAGCCUGCACCACAAGGAGGCAUCAUUUCUUUGCAAUCAUUGGUAAUCAAGUUCUCUCCUUUUCUUCAGAGUUGGAGAAGAUAUCGUCUCAAAAUUGGACUUUAGCCAUGCUUUAAACUCAGCUUGCAUAUCACUGCAACAGGAGGCCAAAGAUUCUCAUGCUGCUACACAGGCCAACGGGAAAGAGUGCAGGUCAGAAGCUUCCAUGUGCCUUGGCUAGGGUGACUGGACAUCUGGAGAAAAGAGAGCCCCGGAUCCCAGUUCAGCCCUCCGCCCUCCAAAGGCCUCUGUAGCUUUGACACCCACAGAGGCCUUCUCAGUUUCAUCCUUUCUCUGACCUCCUCUUCUAGUCCUCCUGGCUUCAUUUCCUGGUCUUGUCUCCAACUUGUACACUUGUGUUCCUCUGCACUGCUGCUGCCCCAGGUCAGCAUCAUCAAUUCUUUCAGAUGAUGGAACGGCCUCUCCUGCAUUCCUGCUGUAAAAAUGUUGCCUUUACAUAGCAGCCAAGGCUGUUCUCCAUCUACAACAAACAUUGAAUUAUGUCAUGGCCCUGCUUAAGAUCUUCCAGUGUCUACUCAUUUUUCUUAGGCUAGAGUCUGAGCUUUUUCUUUGGCCUUAAAGGCCUUAUGUAGUCUUGCCCUUUCCCAUCUCCUGUCUCUCUGUUUUGUCCUCUACUAAAGAGCUAUGGUUUUCAUAAAGGUUUUCCUGCUACCAGCUCUCUUAAACUUGUCUGUAACUAUUUCCUAAGAACAUACAUACACAUGGUAUAUACCUUGACUCUCCCUUUUUAAGCCGUGGCUUAAAACCUGCUUUCUUAUAGGAAACUCACAGAAUAUCUUUAUCCAAUGACUUCUGCCUAUAAUAUGUUCCUCCUGUAUUUUUCUGGUGUCUACCCAAGCAAUGACGAAAAUUUGCAAGAUGAUUAUUAAUGUGUUUAAUCAUUUCAGUUCUACUUCCCUUGUUUACAUGGUAAGAUUCACAGGGAUCAUCACAUUUAAUUUAUUCAUCAUUAUUAUCCUUGCAGGUA